rnacentral:lncRNA from 1 species
UAUACAGUCUGUCAGUUCACGUUACCCCUUACUAAAAUACGCUAAGAAAAGGAUUUCACAUAUUCAACCCUAAGAGAAUGUUUCAUAAGAUAAAUCUUUGUUUGAAAUGAAAGAUAUUUACGCAACAAUAAAAAAGAGAACGAAAAUGGGUAAGAGGAAACGUUGGAAUUUGUAAUGAGGUGUGCAGGGAGGAUUUUAUUACCAUGUGGUGUGAUGCAAGGGUGGUAUCUAGUAGUGGUAAGGAGGAGGAGGAGGAGGGGAUUUGUAGUAGUAGUGGGGUGGAGGUGGUGAAGGGACUGGAGGAGGAGGAGACUUGUACUUAUAAGGCUUCUUGUGAGGUGAUGGUGGAGGAGAGUGGUAAACUGGGGUGGGGACAUGGGGAGGGUAGGUGGGAACUGGUGGCGGUGGGGAGUGGUAGACUGGGUGGGGGUGAGGGUAGCGGUGCCUGUGCACUGGUGGAGGAGGGGAAGAGUAUUUGUAUGACUUCUUAGGAGGGGGUGGAGGAGAGUGGUAAACUGGGUGUGGGUGAGGGUAAGGCUUGUGCACUGGUGGUGGGGGAGAUGGGUAUUUGUAUGGCUUCUUUGGUGGUGGAGGUGGUGGGGAGUGGUAGAUUGGGUGAGGGUGAGGGUGAGGGUGUGGGUGAGGGUAAUGGUGAGGAGGGGGUGGAGGAGAUUGGUAGACUGGGUGUGGAUGAGGGUAGGGCUUGUGCACUGGUGGUGGUGGAGAUUGGUAGACUGGGUGUGGAUGAGGGUAGGGCUUGUGCACUGGUGGUGGUGGAGAUGGGUAGUGGUAGGGAGGUGGUGGUGAGGAGACUGGUGGAGGUGGAGGAGAGGAGUAGGAGUAGUGGUUGCCGGAGAUUUGAGAUGGGAGGCUGAAAAGGAUAAUGGCAAAUGCAAGAGUGAUAGAAGCAGAGGCCAUUAGGGACCCCAUUUUCCUCCAACUGAGUUUUGGUUAUGCUCUAAAGUGAGCUUCUGCAUCCCUUUUUAUAGUUGCUUCUGAACCAUUUAACUCCAACCUACACCUUUCUUAACUCUACUUUUUUUCACUUCCACACUCACCUUCUCGGAAACACGUUAUCACGUACGUAAUCCUGGUUUUGAACUAUUGCCAUGACAUUGACUUUCAAACCCUUUGGAACACGGUUUUGGAUUCGAUUCAUCUAUCAAAAUAUUACGUGCCUUUUUUUAUGCAGAUCUCUAAUCAAAAUAUCAACUUCAUUUGAUGAUGUGUAAUGUAUUCUUCCUAUUAUGCAUGUUGUUGAAGUAAAACUUCACUUAUGAUCAUGAUUGAAUAGGAGCAUUAAAAAAUACUAACCAAAAACAUCUAAGUUUUGUUGCUUUGAAACUAAUUAAGAAGGUUAACAUUACAAGUUAAAUAUGGUAAACUUAUUGGUUUGAAUUAUUCUGAGUCAUAAAUAUUGUAUUGUAGAAGUGCUUUUGAUUGUGUAGAAAUGAAAAAGGUAAAAUAAAAAUAAGUGCAGGGAUGCCAGACUGUGGAGUCUGUAGCUAGGCUGAAAUGCUGACACAACCUUUAUUUUUCUCUGUGUGGCGGAAGAAAAGACAAACAAUAUGAUUUAAUUAUUUGUUGCUUCUAGCACUGAAACAUCACUCUGUUAAAAAACAUGCAUAAUUUUUGGGUACUACUUUUUCGUUAAAAUAAUGACAUAAAUGAAUUCAGCUGUAUCAAUUGAGGAACUAAAGUAAAAAUAUGGAUAAAUUUUUCACAUAUUUUAAAAAUUAUUUUUCUAACUUACUUUCCCAAUUCAUAUCUAAUUUCAGAAUCUUUGAAACUUGUACUUGUCUAAAGUGGUACUGCAUGAUAUAGGGGCACCUAAAACUACAUAUUUUUCAUCCUUCCCUGUCAUUAAUUAAGUAUUUAUUAAACUAUUUUUUCAGUUCUAAUAACUGUAUGAAAAAAAAAAAUCUCCACUGAACAAACUACAAGUUUUUUUUUCUCUUUUUUUUAUAUAUUUUAAUAAGUAUUUUUAGAAAACUAAAUAAAAAGGAACUCAAACAUUUUUAUAGGCUAAAUUUCUUUAAAAAAUUGUGCAUCGUAAGAAGGAUAAGUGGGAAGGUUUCAACUUGGGAGAUAACACUCUAAAGUGAAAAAACAUUUUAAAUUGGGAGUUGAACUUUCUUUGCCAGCUCAAUGCAGGUCCAUAUAUAUAUAUAUAUAUAUAUAUAAUAUUAUUAAAAAAAAUUAUAAAAUAGAAACUAAAUUUUUAUAGACCAAAAUAAUUAAUUAUAAUAAAUAAAUUAAAUAGUAACUAAAUUAAAGAUCACUUUAAAAUUAAUUUCAAAAUUAAUUUUUAUUAUUAUUAAAUAGUUUCUAAAUUGGUAUCUAAUUAUCAACUAAUGUUUUAAUUACCAAUUAUUUAGUUUCUAAAUUUGGUUUUUAAAAUCUUGUUAUUAAUUAAAUAUCAAUUUAAAAACUAUAUAAUAAUAAUAAAAAUUAAUUUAGAAACUAAAAUUUCUUUUAUUUUUUAAAAUAUCUAUAAUUUAGUUACUAUUGCAACUAAUUAUUUUGAUCUUUAAAAAUUGAUUUUUAUUUCAUGAUUUUCUUGUAGUACAUUGAUUAAUGCUUAAAAUAAAUUUAUUAAGUAAUAGAUUUAAGACGAGGUUGAUAUUUACUUACAUAUUAUAUAUUAUCAAAUAUUAUACUUUGAUCUAAAAUUUUCAGCACGUUUUCUUAGGUUGAAAUUUUCUAAUUCGUGGUAUUGUAAUUUUCUAAUUCGUGAUAUUAUAUAUAUAUAUAUAUAUAUUUUAUUUGAUAAUAAUAUAAUAACCGAGGAUAUGCUAAACUCAAUCAAUUUUGUUAAGAUAAACUUAACUCUGAUUUUAUAUUAAAUAAUAAAUUUUAAAUAUAAUUUAAUCUUAUAAACUGAAUUAUGAAUUAUAAAGUUAGGUUUAUAAUUAUUUGUAUAUUAUAAAAAUCUUCAUAAUAUUUUCAAUUUUUGUUAAAAUGUAUAUUCUUUUUAUUUUAUUUCUUGACAUUAUAAAUUAUACGAAAAAAAAAUGGUAUUCUAUGCUCCAUUCCCGAAAGCACCAUUUCACGUGCCAUUGUCAUGCAUUUCUACCUAUAAUAGCUUACUGGAGUAGGCCAAGACUCACGAGUUAUCCAAAGUAAUCUUUGUUUUCUAUUUUCCCUCUUUUUCGGGAACUUAAAUUAAAAUGUUUUUUUGAUUAAAUAUAAUUAAAGUUAAUUUAAACUUAUUAUAAUAUAAUAUUAUAAGAAAGGAUGUGGAUAAACACAGUCAUUAAGAAAAUGUAUUACUUUACAUAAUUGUGUAUAAAUUAUUAUAAUAUGAUCAAUUAUAUUAUUUUACAUGCUCAAUUAAAUGUUUUCAGAGAAUUAUAUUUGAAGUUGGAAAUAUUUUUGUAUGAAUUUCAAACUCUUUUUUCUUAAUCUGUAAAGCUGGGAUGAAUUAUUGAAUGAAAACUCCUCAACAGAUAAUUCAGAAGUGACUCAAAAUUCAGAAAACAGAAAGAGAAAAUCAAAUUAAAUUUAAUGAAUAGUUUUAUUUCCAAGGCAGCAUAGGGUAUCCUAAUUUCACUAAUAUUAAUUUGAAAAUUUACAGUAUUCGGGAUUUUAUUUUGUAAUGUCUUCUGUAAAUUGUUAAAUAUUAUUGUUGAGAUCUACCUACCUAUCUACCUAGCCAACUUCAUAAAAUAUUUAAUCACCUUUAAAAUUUAUGUUUUAUUAUCUUUAUCCAUGAAUUAAAUUUAAUGAUUUUAAAAAAUAAGUUUAUGUUACAAUUAAAAUUAUUUUACUGGUAUACAAGUAUAUUUUACAUAUUCAGAAAUAUUUAUUUGUUAUAAAUUUUAAUAACUGUAAUUUUGAUUUUCAAAUAUAAAUUAUAAUUGUAAAAUAUUUUAUAUAAUAAUUUUUUUUAUUAUAAUUUCUACUUAUACAAAACGUAAAUAUUUAUUCGAAUAAUACUCGUGAAAUUGCAUGUGCAUUUGUUGAAUCUGAAGAUGGGCUAGUAUAAUUAAUUUUUAUAGACAAAAAACUGUGAUUGUAUCUUUUCAAUAAUUUGUAAAUCAGUUUCUUUUCUAUGCAUAUACUGAUGAGACUUAAAUAAAGAUUUUGUGUAUUAGUUAAACAUAAACAAAUUUCAACCAUAUUGAUUCCUACUUAAAACACCAUUUCCAAUAAUAAUACAUACAAAUCCAUCCACAGAAAAUACAAAACGAUUUAUCAGAGCUAAAAUAUAAUGUAUGAUAUAUCAUAAUCUUUAUUAGCAUGUGCUUGCUACUAUAAUUAAUUAAAGUUUUAGACAAAAAUUACCUUUGAAGAUAACUUGAUACACCUAAAGAGUUCCAACAUAAUGCAAAGCUAAAGAAAUAUAGGAAAUGAGCGUGGGUGGUUCAGUGUGAAUUGGAUAGGAGAUAAGACUCUAUUAAAUAGACUUCCUGAAAGUCUAAAUUCACCCAAUCAAUCAAAAUAAGUUUGAAUUCAAACUUCAUUGCCAAAAUGAAUCUCUGUGACAUUUUGAUUAUUGUACCCAAAGUGAAAAUUGUAGCCAUGUGAACAUAAAGUUCUGAGUAAAGUGUACGCUUGACAUGUAUUUUGAGGAAGAAAACAUUGUUUGUGAGAAAAUCAAGUUGUUGCUGCACGACUUUGCAAUUGAAGUUGCCAAUAAUGAGAAAUUUUUUCAUUUUGUGCUUAUGCAAAGUUGUUAUUAACAGUGAAGGAAACUUUGAAAAGGAAGACUGAAAAAUAUUAUGACCAAUGCAAGAGUGAGAGAAGCAAAGGCCACUAAAGACCCUAAUUUCCUUAAAGUUGGUAUUGGUUAUAUGGUCAUGUUGAGAAACCCAAACUAGCCCCUUUUAUAUACCAUUUAGCUCUAAGCAUCUUCCUAACUUUAUUUGUUUCCUUCACAAUACUACACGCAUGCACCAAUGGUUUUAGGAGCAAGUGUCCCAAAGCGUUUUUGGAACGGUUGUGACUCUAAUUGCUUUUGGAACGUUGAAUUUGGAUUUCACAGGCUGCGUCCUAAUUAAGACAAAGCACGUUUAUUUUUCUUUACAUCCCAAAACAUAGCAUAAUAUAUAUUUAAUUAUCUUUGAUUAUAAGUUUCUAGCAUUCACAAAUUUCAUUCCCCAAAUUAUUUGUUUGUUGUUGUGUGUGGUUUAUAGGGAACUAAAACACUAGUUUAUAGGGAACUAAAUCUCUGAAACUAUAUUUGAUAGUUAUGAGAAACUAGUAUAUGGUAUUCACAUUUUCUCUGUUGUUGAUUGCACUGCCAUUGUAUUAUACAUGUAUCAAGAAAACGUAGUGACUUUGUAAUUCUGUUUCGUAGUUUUUACAUAAAAAAUUACUAGAUUUUGUAAGAUAUGAAGCAAGUGUGGGGAUUAUUUGUUCCUAGGGAAAGUUUUAAAGUGAACUUGUAAGUGUCUUCAAAUCUGUUUUGCACAAUAAAUAAGUGCGACGUAUUAGAUUUCAAACAUUGCAAAAUAAAUGUUACAUGUUUACAUAGGUUUUUUAUUGGUAAGUAAUUCAAUUUUUUUUAGAGGUGGUUGUGAUUUUAUUAUAAUUUUAAAGUCAAAUAAGUGAGUCGACGGAUAUUGGAUAUCAAACAUGGAAUAAAUUUUGCAGUUUUUUAGGCCUGUGAUAAGAAAAUACAUACAUUACAACAUUAUUUUUAAUUAAAAUAUGUUUAGGAAAAUGAAAUGUCUCAAUCUGUGUAGAGAUUAAACUCUAUAUAAUGCUCUGAUACGAAAUAUGAUAUCAUCGGAAGUGUAAUUAUUUGGCAUAUAUAUUAUACUUUAACAGCCGAAAACAAUCAUUUACCAAUUAAUUAUAUUAAUAAUUUAAUUAUAUAUUUCAUUUUUAAAAUUAAAUUAUUAAAAUAAAAUUGUGAAAUAUAUCUUAAAAUAUAAUUUUUCACAUAUAUAUUCGAUGUAACGAAACUGACUUUUAACUAAUCCGAGAAAUCGGGUAAGAACUUUUCGAAGAACUGAAGUGCCUCUCCAUUCUGAUAUUGACAAAAGGAAUUUAAAACAUUCAAAUCAAUACAAAUUAAAUGUACCUAUAAGACUGAAUUUCAUUUCAAUGAAUUUUAUGAGGAAAAAGAUAAAUAAAAAAUAAAAUAAUUCUUUAUAAAAUUAGUUUAUGUAUAAUUUAAUUUAUAAAAAUUAAAAAAUAAUUUUAAUUUGUGUAUAUAUAUUAAUUUUUAUUUAUAAAGAAAUUUGUUUUAUUUUAUUUUUCAUACUUUUUCUUAUAAAAGUCCUUUUAGAAAGACUAGUCUAAAUAUAUCCCAAAAAAUAUAUUAUUGUACUACGACAUCAGUACACUGACAUCAUGCAUAUGACAUGACUGAAAAACUUUACUUUGAUUUUAAUUUUUCACAUUUUUAUUCAUCUUCUCAAGUUUCUUCAAUUAAGUAAUAAUAAUUUAGUAAAAUAUUUUUUUAAAUGAUAAAUUGUUUAUUAUUUAAUUAUCUUAGUAUUUUUUUUAAUUAUUGUUAUUUAACUGAAUAAAUGGAGAAAAAUGGCGCGAAAUUUCACUAUUAAUAAAAAUUAAAUUUAGAGAUAAAUAAUUUUCUUUAUGAUAAUAAAAGUAAAAUAUAUAAUAAAAAUUGAUAUUAUAAUAAUUAUCAAAAUAAUUAUUAUUAUAAAAUAAAUAUUUUUAAGGCAUAAUUAAUUACCCUUUUUCUUGCAACAUUUUCUAACUUUAUUCAAUUUAAUCUCUAUAUUUAAAAAAUAAAUAAAAAAUGAUACCAAUCUUGUUUAGAAAGUUCAAUAUGAUUUCAACUUCUUUUACUAUUCAAUCUGAUUCCAAUGUUUUUAAGAGUUUAGGGUGGUCCCGUUUUUUUAAAAAUAACUCAAUAGGAUGAUUCAAACCUUUUUUUUUUUUAAAUCGCUAAGAUAUUAAAAUGAAGACAUUUAGCAUGAAGGAUCACAUUAAAUCGUUUCUAAACAAGAUUGAGAACAUUUUGAAUUUUUUAAACAUACGGAGAUUAAAUUAAAUAAAGUCAUAAAAUGUUGAAAAAAAAGUAAUUAUGCCUAUUUUUAAUUAAUUUUUAUAAUAUUAUAUACUACAAGAAAAUAUUUAAAUAAAAACUAAUUUUAGAGAAAAAAAAUUAGUUAUUAUAUUAAGUAAGUUAUAUACUAUUUUAUAAACUAAACAAUUUUUUAUAUAUAAAGUAGUUUUUAUUAUUAAUAAAAUUUACAAACUAGUUGUUAAAUUAUUAUCUAUCAAGGUUUUAGCUAUUAAUUAUGUUAGAUUAUAAAUUAAUUAGAUUAAUAAUAAGUAUAAUUGUAAACAGUUAUGUGUAAAAAGAAACUUUUAUUUUGAAAGAAUAAACCUUAUUAAAACCUUAUAAAAAAAAUCCUAUUGAGUUGAAGAACAUUAGGGAUAAAAUAUUGAGUUAAGGAAAAUUAGUACUUUAUCUUAUAUUCAACGCAAAUCAUAAUGUAUACACCAUAAAUCAAUCAAAAAGGUGUUUCUACCAUAGAUGUUUGGGGAAUACACUGAUAUCCCACAAUAUGUUGGGUAUAUUUUUGGCCCAAAGAUCUUUGGGUUCCCCAAGAUUCUUUUUGAGUUAUGGGUUUUGCGUGUAGGAGUAUGGUAAGUUUGUGACAUAUGAAGUUAGGAUCAAUCUCUAGCGUUUCCACUAGACUCCAUGUGAAGAGGUCAGAGUUACUGAAUAGUACCUUUUCUAUAAGGAUCUAAAAAUUUACUUUAGAGUAAAAGUGGUAUAUUUUAAAUGAUACUUGAAUAUUUUAUUAUUAAAAUGAAAAGAACAUAUAAAUAGAAAAAUCAUUUAUUCAGAUUUCAUUUCAAAAGAACCACCAUCUCUCUAGAAGUUUCUUUUUUCCUUUCCUCACCCUACUCUCUAAGAUUAUGACCUCCUCGCUCAUCAAUUUGACGAUCGGAGUCUGCUAUUAAACUCUUGGCAGCGAAGACUACAAGACUGCCCAAUCAAAAUCUCUUAUAGAGUAAGUUCAAUUUUACUCUUCUCUUUGAGUCAAAUUUUGAACUUGUAGGUCUGUCUCAAUUUAAGUUUACACAUUUGACUCUUUUAGCUUUAAGAUUAGUCUUUGUUAUCUCAGAGUCCUAGUCAUAUAGUUAAAAAUUUUAUCAGGACUUUGUGGUGCAUGUUAAGCUACUAUUGAAGCUUUUGGUAGGUUUGAAGCUCUUAGGCUUUGUUUGGAUCCAGGGGUGCCACUGUUGGCGACGACGAAAGUCACAACAACACCCCGUUUGGAUCCAUGCAUUGUUGCGGGUGAGGGUGCAGCGAAAGAGAAAGUUGAGUGAAUUGUGUUUCUUCUGAAAGAUGAAGAGAAAGUUUCACUGUGCAGUGCAAGUGCCAAGUCAUCACCACGAAAUUCCAAUGAUGCCCUUACUUUUGUGUUGGAAUCAAGAAGCACAGUGGCUGUGCAUGCAUGCCAGAUGAAAGCAUGAAAUUCCUGACUUGGCUCAGGAAUCUAUUGACCAUGUGAAAGUUUGAAACCUCAUCAAUGAAAUGGGUGAGAGGUAGGUGCGUGAGAUUUUUGGUUUCUUUAUAAACGUUGCUUCCUCCAUUCAUAGUCACAGAUAAGCGAAGCAUAAGCAAAGAGAGAGCGAAGCAUAAAGUGUGUAGUUGGAGAGAUUUGUAAGUCAUAGUGUGUGUUAGGGGCUUCAUUAACGUAGAGGUUAUUCAUCUGAAAGUGAUGUGUUCAUCUCUGGGUUCAUCUGUGCCUUCAUGUGGUUCAUCUCUGGGUUCAUCUGAGGUGAGUUUAUAUGUUUGAUUGUUGGUUAAUCGAUUAUGGUUUAAAUAUCACAGGCAAAAUAAUCGAUUAUAGUGUAAUCUGCAAAAUUUCCCAGGCAUAAUCGAUUAUCUGUAGUGUGUAAAAUUGCUCUUAAUCGAUUAUUUGUUGUGAUAAUCGAUUAUUGUUGUUUUUAGCCUAGUAGCAUAAUCGAUUAUGCUUUGAUAAUCGUCUUAACUGUGUAAAAGGGUUCCUAAUCGAUUAUGUGUUGUGAUAAUCGAUUAUGGUUGUUUUUUUGCCUACUAACAUAAUCAAUUAUGCGUUCAUAAUCGAUUAUCCUGUGUGUGUAAGUGAUGCCAUAAUCGAUUAUGUUCUAAAUUUUUUGAAAUAUAAAUGUUUGUUAAUUUAUUUGUUUUCUGUUAUUUUUAGGUGUGUUGAUCUUCCUAUAAGCCAUCCUAUUGCUGUUCUUGAGUGCUUAUCUUCAGGUUUUAAAUUUUUUUUAUGUAAAAUUAUUUUAUUUAAUUUCUGUUUUAUAUUUAUGAUUAUGGUUUUGUAAUAUAAUUUGUUUAGAAUUUAUUUUAGUUUAUUAUGUUAAGGCUGUUGUUGUAAUAUAAUUUUUUUAGAGUUUAGUUUAGUUAAUUAUGUUAAGUAGUUACUAGAUAGUUAAUUAAAUAUGUUAAGGAGUUUAGUUUAUUAAAUUAAUUGUUUCAGUUGAUUUAUUAUUUUAAUUUUUGUAGAUAGUUAUUAAUUUAUUAAGAAAAAUAUUUAUUUCUAUGAAAUGAAUUAUUUACAGAAUGGAAACAGAAAUUUGUAAAUUUUAGGUUUUUUAUUAUAUUAAACAUAAAUUAUUAAUGUUAUAAUUAAAUCAAAUAAAAAAAGUUGUUGUGAUUAAAGAAAACUGAAAAAUUUAAGAUAAAUAUUGUUUAUAAGAGAAUAUAUAUUGUAUAAUAAUAAAUAUACAAAGUUAAUAAAUAUUGUAUAAGAAAACUGAAAUAUUGUAUAAUAAUAAAUAUAUAAAGUUAAUUUUUUUUUAACAUUUAAUAGAAAUGUUUAUAAGAGAAUAGAUAAUUUUUUUAAAUGAAUAUUUGUAUUCUGUAUGGUUAAUAUUUUUUUAAAUUGGACAUAAAUUAUUAAUGUUAUUAGUUGAAAAGAUUAAAAAAAAUGUUUUUGUAAUUUUUGUUAUAAGAUUUAAUUGUUAUAAGAAAAAAAUGAAUGUAUUUAAAAUGAAUAUUUUUAAAAAUUUGUAAUUUGUAGGUUUUUUAAAAAGUAAUUGAUAUUUUAGAAGUAUUAUUUUUAAUUGAUAUUUUAGUUAUAAAUGUAGAAAGUAAUUAUUUAUUUCAAAAUGAAUUGUUUAUGAAAUAGAUUUUAAAAAAUUUAUUUUGACAUAAUGGAAUUCAAAAUUUUAAAAAUAUUUGAUAGGGUUUUCAUUUUUGUAGAUUAAACAUAAUUUAUUAAUGAUAUAAUAAAAAACAUUAUAAAAAUGUUGUAUUAAUUAAAAAAAUAGUAAAAGUUUAAAGUAGAAAUAUCAUUUUGAGUUAUUUUGAGUUAUUCAGGUGGUGAAAGUCAAAGGAGGUUCAUAUGAAUGAGUAAGUUGCUUGAAAGAUAACUAAUUUGACUUGCUAUAUGAAUUAACCCUGUCAUACUAGGGAGAGAUUGUAUUGAGAUUAUUUAUGCGCAUAAAUGUGUGGAUUUCACAGUAAUAUAGUAUGACAGGUGCAAAUCUUUGAGUCUAAGUUAACGCACGAGUCUUCCGGAAAUAUAGUCAAAUGUCUAUGUGUUGUGAGUCAGUAGAAGUCUGACAUGUGAAAGAUAAAUUAUGAAUUUUAAUAGACACUUGAUGAUUUGAGAAAUUUUAUGAGACUUGAUGAAUUAUGUUUAUUAAUGUGAAAUUGAAAUUAUAUAGAAAUUUUUAUAUAACUAGCUUACCAUGUUCUUUGUUUGUGUUUGUUUCUUUAUCUGUGAUGAUCGUGUUUUACACGAGAAUGAGAUUGCAGGUAAUAGAGCUCCUUAGUGAGCACCUGAAGGAUGAAAUUACUUUAAUUUGAAUGUUUUGUUUUGUUUUUAAAACUUUUGGUGUAUAUAUUAAAAUUAUACAAUUAUGAGAUAGUUGUAUAUACUCAUAUGUUAAUUAGAUAUUGUUUGUUUUACUUCUGUUUUAUUAAAUAUGGGUAAAAAUUAGGAAUGUUACAUCUUCAAUCCGCUUUCGAAGAUAUCAACUAACUGAUUUACCAAUCUCCAGGUUGACUUUUGAGUUGCACUUAUACUAGGGGUUCAUCAAAAGAUGGUCGAUUCUCCACAAACUCGGCCCUAGGAUCUAGAAAACCUCAUUCUCAUCGUCUUAUGGGAACUCAAUGUGAAACGCCUGCUCGAUAAAGUUGUUGGUAUCCCCAUGGCCUUGGUCAUUUACUUCCCUGUGCUCCUUCGGGUAGGCUAUGGCCUCGCCAAUUGUUGUUGUGGUCAAGGUCUUUACAAAAUAAGAGAUGACCUUGAUGUUCUCAACAUAACACUCCCUUAUCAUCUUCAGAUUUGCCUUCACUAUGAUUAUUUUACCAUUGUCACUGAAAACUUCAUGGUCAUGUGUAGUCGACACUAUGGCGUCCAAUUGAUUAAUACUUUUGCAUUUGAUGAUGUCAUUGCAGGAUGUGGUACCACAAUGAGAGAUAAAUGGAACUCUUAUUCUGGUCAGGGGAAUAGUAUUUUUGUUUCAAAGGUAAGCUGAAGAGUAUGAAAGUUGAUAUCAAGGUGUGGAAUUGGGAUGUGUUCGGGCACCUGGAAUCUGAGAAGAAGAAUUGUUUGAUGGAUAUUGAGGAGCUUGAUGUCAAAGAUGAGGGUGAUGCUUUGCCAGAGAGUUUAAGGACGAGAAGGUUGGUUCUCAUCAAUCAUGUAGAAGAGAUCAAUAAGAAGUUGGAAUCUAUGUUUAGGCAGAAAGCUAGAGCUAAUUGGCUUACGUUUGGGGACUCUAAUUCCAAGUUUAAUCAUUAUGUAAUUAGAUGGAAGAGACUUAGAAAUGAGGUUAAGGGUGUCGAAGUGGGAAGUUUUUGGGUUGAGGAAUCUAAGGUAGCGCGCAGGGAAGUGGUGAAGCUUUUUGAAGCUAAAUUCUCGGCUACUCAGGAUUUUGGAGUCAGACUUGAGCAUGUUGAGUUCAAAUCCUUAUUAGAGGAGGUUAGCUUAAGUCUGGUGUCCAAGAUCACAGAGGAAGAAGUAAAGGAUGUUGUCUGGUUGUAUGAGGGGUCAAAAAGUCCUGAACCAGAUGACUUUAAUUUUAAUUUUAUCAAGAACAGUUGGGAAGUGCUGAAGCUUGAUGUGGUAGCUGUUGUUCACCCUUUUCAGGAAACAAGUUGUAUUUCUAAAGAGUGUAAUGCGUCUUUUAUUAUCCUUGUCCCCAAAGUUAGGGACCCUAUAAGUCUGGACCAAUACAAACCUAUUUCUCUUGUAGGUUCACUGUAUAAAAUUAUUUCGAAGGUCUUAUCAUGUCGCAUAAAACAAGUUUUACCCGAGGUUAUAGAUGACUGUCAAUCAACUUUCUUAAAGUAAAGAGAAUGUUAAAUAACGUUCUAGUUCUAGUGGCUAAUAAGGUUAUUGAUGAGAUGAGGAGAAAAAAAAAAAAUGUUUUGUCAAUUAUGAAAAGGCAUACAAUUCUGUCAGCUGAGUGUUUCUCUUUCAUAUCCUUUAAAAGUUAGAAUUUCACAAUAAAUGAAUGUUUCUGUUUGAUAUGCUUUGGAAGUUGUGAUUUCACAAUAGAUGGAUUGCGUGGAUCAGAGUCUUUUAAUAGAAAACAAGUAUUUUAAUAAUUUAUACAUAUGAAAGUACAGUGACCGUAUAAAAGUUGUUGUACUGUAACAAAUCAAUAUACAUUAUAAGUUCAUUAUUUUAUAUAAUAACUAUAUAGAUCGUCAAAGUUAAACUAAAGUGACUAUAAAUUAAACUAAAAAAUAAUUAAUUUCCAAAUAUUAUCAUGUAGAAAAUAAGUUGGAGUAAAAAAUAUUAUAAAAAAUAGCUUAACAAUGUGGAAAAAAGGAAAAGAAAAAAAAAACCAUGGAGGAAGAUAACUUUAACUAUGGACACACUCUGAAAGUGAGAUUCGUCAAACAUAUUUUAAGAGUUAUAGAUGAUAGUGAUGAUGAAUAGUGGAGAUAAGUUUCACUAUACUUGUUUUUACCUUUUAAGUAAAAAUUAACAUUCCUGAAAAAAAUAACAUUAUUCAUUUCCAUUUUGAUGGGGAUAAAAUUAGUCUCAUAUUAAUGUAAAAAGAAUACACUGUCUUCUUAGCACCAAUUAAAAAUAAAAAGUUAUAAUAAAAUAAAAUUCAAAAUAAAGUAUUAAAGAAAAUAUUGUUAAUAAUUUAAAACAAAUAUAAGAAUUCGUUAAAUUUCAUAUCUAAUUUAAAUAAUUAAAUUAAACAUUGUUCAUAUAAAGACAAAUUCGAAUAAUAGUAAGACAUAAAAUAUUUUUUCAUCGAGGUGAUUUCACCGAUUACAUGGAACGAUUGAUUGUGUUUUUUUUUCAGAAAAAAAGAAAAAAUAUCUCAUUUGCUUAAAGACAAAAGAAUAUUAACUAUAUUUCUAAAAAUAAAGAAUAAACUUAACAACGAGAACAACUAAUUAAUUAAAUACAUACGUUUGUAUAUAUACUAGUAGCCUAUACCAUGUUUAAUUAUGAGUAUAUGCGAUUAUUCUUAAAUUAUUAUGUCACUUUUGUUUUUCAUAUCUAUGUCCUUCUUAUUUGAAGGCUAAGCCUAGUCACGCAUCAACUUGAACAUCAACUUGGAUUCCUACGGUCCUAUGAAUGCAUAUAACUUGCCCUCAAUCCCACAAUUACAUAAAUUAAAUAAAAUAUUAAAACAAAUAAUUUAAAAACAACUUAAGUGGUUUAAAGUCAGAUUCACUUUUGUAUGAUUUCUUUAAAAAAAAUUACCAUUUUAUUUUAAUUUAUAUGUUACUGUUUAUUAUAAAAAAAAUUAAUUUUAAAAAUUAAAAAAUAAUUAAUUUUUAUAUUGAUUAAAUUAGAUAUUAUUCUUUUAAAUAAUAUUUUAAUUUUUUUUAUUAAUAUCUAAAUUAUUUUUUAUUAUUUUAAAUUGAUAUUUAAUUAAUUAUAAUAUUUUAAUUACCAAUUUUAAAAUUUAAAUACUUAAUAAUUAAAAACUUAACAGCUAAUUAGAUAUUAAUUUAAAAAUUAUUUAUUAAUAACAAAAAAUAAUUUAGAUAUUAAUAAAUUUUUAAUUUUUAAAAUAGUAUUUAAUUUAAUUAAGAUAAAAAUAAAUUAUUUGUUAUUUUUAAAAUUAAUUUUUAUUUAAAUAUUUUCUAACAGUGGGUGAAGCAUAAUUUCAGAUGAAAGAGAUUUUAGGUGUUCUUUAAAUGGAUUUACUUAUAAUAUUGGUUUACAUUAAUUCAAUAUUGCAAUGGUUAUACAAACAUUUUUAACAAGUAUUGUAUUGAUAAUAUUAAAACGUAUUUUAUUUAAUAAGUUUGAUAAAACUUAAUAAAUAAUCAACUUAGGCCUUCCAUGUUAUAGUUUGAAGAAUUAAAAUUGAUUUUUGGUAAAGAAAGUUGGAAAAUGGUGAAGAUUUGUUCCCCCUUCUCGAAAACAAGUUUAAUAUUAAGUGAAAGUGACAUAUGAGAUCCUGAUGGAUCUAAAGUGGAAAACCAGUUUAUGAGAGAUUGGUGUUUUCGAAAGCACCUCAGAAAAAAACAUGUCGGUUGAUUUUAUAAAGGUUCUCGAAUUAAGCAUGUCGGUAAUGACAUUUAAAAUAAACAUGUUUUAUUGAAUCAAAUCUGCAAUUGGUGAUUUGUGUCUGAGACAAUAGGCACCCUUUCAUCAUCAGGAGCAGUUAUCGAUAUUCUUCACAUAAAAUAGUGGAGUUGGUGGUCACUAAUCAAAUGCAACCUCUUUCUUUUUUUUGUUUUGACAGCUCCCAUAAUGAAUUUUUUUUGAAGAAUUUGCGACCUCUUUCACACUGAUUACAUUCAUUUAUAUUUAAAUAAAUUAUUAUUUUAUUAUAAUAUAAUAUUUUAUUUAAAAAAACUUAAUACAUUUUAUUAUAAUACAAUAUUUUAUUCCAAAAAAAUAUUAUAGAAUAAUUACUUUUACUAUUUUGUCUGAAACAAAUUUUAAUCAUUUUAAAUCGAUGGCCGUCCUCCUGGAGCACUAGACCCCAGAUCUGUGAGCUACCGAUGUUGACGAAAGUAUAAAGAAAUAUUUGGAAGUGAGAAUUGCAUUAAUUUAGGAAAACUAAAUGAUUCUUUCUACAAAAUUAUUCUCACUCCUUAAAACCUUGAAUCGUGAUGUCCCAAAUAGGGCACAAAUCAAGCCACCCAUCUUAAAACCCUCAAUAUUGUCUUUACAUCUUUAUUUAUGAGAAAAUAUAACUUAAUAAAUAAUAUUUAUGUUGAAGAUUUUUAUUAUUAAUAAAAAUAUUUUAUAAUAUAUAAAUCAAUAUACACUUUAUAAGAUAAUAAGAUUUGAUAAGAUUGAAUUAAAUUUAAAGUUUAUUUUUUUAAUAUGGUAUUAAUAUAGUUUAUUUUAAUAAAAAUUUAUUAGAUGAUUAAAUUAUCUAUUAUUAGAUUCUUAUGGAAUGAUUCAUUAUAUAGUAUUAAACACAACCUAACAAUCUCGAUGAUAGAUGUUAUGUUAAAAAUUAUGUAUUAAUUAGAAAUAAUAAUAUUUUAUAAUAGGUAAGUUGAUGUAAAUUUUAUUUCAUAAAUUAAUUUUAUUAAAUAGAGUUAUGUUAAAUAUAUUUAUUAAUAUUUCAAACAAAAUUGAGUUAAUUACAAUAAAAAUUAUAUUACUAAGAAUAGUCACAUAUGCUUAGAUAAAAAAUGUUAUCAAUUCAAGUGAGUAUCUGGUCUUCUCCAAAAAAAACUCAACAAAAAUGUCACAUCUUUAGAACUCUAUUUAUGGAUAAAUAAAUAAUUAUCUUAUCUUAAUGUAAUAUAAUUUGUUGGGUAUAUCUUCUUCCAUUUUUCCUACAUAUAAUAUUGACAUAAAUUUAAAACUAGUAUUUUUAUUUAUAUAUAAUAAAAUUUAUAAAUUUAUGUUAUAUACUAAUUUAAUAAAAUUAAUUAAUUUGUAAAUAAUUAUAAAAAUUUGGUGUAUUAUAUUUGUUAUAGAUAUUACAUUAUAAUUUUAUUAUAAACUUAUAAUGUAAUAUCUAUAACAAAUAUAACACAACAAAUUUAUAUAAUUAUUUAAAAAUUGUGGACACUUAUUUCCGCUAGUAUUUAUAAUUAUUCUGACAUAAAAUUUUAACUAUAUUUUUUAGGAUAUUAAAUAAUUAUUAUUCAAAUAUUUUUAAGAUAUUAAUUAUAUUUUGAAAACAUUAUAUCAUUUUUGUAAUAUAGAAAUGGUUAUAUAAAUAUAUUAUAAUUUUGUAUAAUUUAAUUAAUAAUUUUUAUAACUUAUUAAAAAAUAAAUUAAAUUUUUUUCUAUAAAAUUAUAUGCAAUUUUUUUCUAUUUCAAUAUAAUUUAUCUUAUAUCUUAACAUUAUUUAGUUUGUUACCAUAUUUUUAUCUUAUUAUAUUUUCAUCAUGCCAUAUUUUUAUUUUAUUGUAUCAUAUUCUUCUAUUUUAUUAUAUUGUGUUUACUAAACGAAUGUUUAAAAUUUAAAACAGUUAUAAUUUAUAUACAUUAUUUUCUCUAAACUCAUUAAGACGUUUUUGAAAACAAAGAAUUUAACAAAAGUUGAUAUUACACAUGAAAUAAUUCUCAAUCAAAUUUGCUAACGUAAUCAAUUUCUUUUGUAACAUCCUAAUUUUUACCCAUAUAUAAUGAAAUAAAAGUAAAACAAGCAAUAUCUAAUUACGAAUAAUAUAUAUACUACUUUCUCAUAUGUGUAUCUCAAAAGAAAUAUCCCUCCUCAUAGGGAUUUAAUAUAUACAUCAAAAGUUUUAACAACAAAACAAAGCAUUCAAAUAAAACUAUCUCAUUCUCCAGCUGCUCACUAAGGAGCUCUAUUAUCUGCAAUCUCAUCUGCUCCCGUGUAAAACACGAUCAUCACAGAUAAAGAAACAAACACAAACAAAUAACAGGGUAAGCUAUCUAUAUAAAAAGUUUUGAUAUAAUUCAAAUUUUAAAUUAAUAAGCAUAAUUCAUCAAUUCUCAUACGAUUUCUCAAACCAUCAAGUGGCUAUUACAUUCAUAAAAUUCAUAUUUCAUAUAUCAGACUUCUAUUGACUCAUAACACAUAGACUCUUGACUCUACUUCCGGAAGACUCGUGCGUUGACUUAGACUCAGAGAUCUGUACCUGUCAUACUAGCUCACUGUGAAAUCCACACAGUUAUGCGCAUAAAGAAUCUCAAUAUCAUAUCUCUCCUAGUAUGAUAACUUCAUCUAUAUGAUUUCAUUAUCUCAGGAGAGUCAGGAUAUCUCCUUCUAGACGAAUCCCUAGUCAAUGCACAUCCUAAACAAUCUUAACACGAUAUUUUCUUUCCUGAAAAUACUAUGUUUUGAUUUAAAAAUAUAUUCUAAACAUUAAAAUCUCCCACAUCAAACAAUCAAAUCAUUCCACAAUUUAGAAUUUCCAAAACACCCAACAAUUCAUUUCAACUAGAAUGAAAAUAAAAGGAGAAUGAAAUAAAAUUAUCUUCCAACUACAACUAUAUCCAACAGUAUAGUAUUUAAUAAAAAGGAUGAGGAAGCCACAACAUGANNNNNNNNNNNNNNNNNNNNNNNNNNNNNNNNNNNNNNNNNNNNNNNNNNNNNNNNNNNNNNNNNNNNNNNNNNNNNNNNNNNNNNNNNNNNNNNNNNNNNNNNNNAAUUUUAGUUCAUAAACUGAAUCAUCAAGAAAUAUUCAAAAUAUAUAUGCUCUGAAAUUGUCAAGAAACAAAUAAUCACAAACCUUUUUCAAAUACAUUCAUCAAUUCCAAACUUAUAUACAUUCUACAUCAUCUACUAUAUCUAAAUUUUAGAUUUCAAUCUCAAAACAGUUUCAAUCUCAAACAUCAAUCUCAAACAUCAAUCUCAAACAUCAAUCUCAAACAGUUUCUAUCUCAAACAGUUUCUAUCUCAAACAGUUUCUAUCUCAAACAGUUUCUAUCUCAAACAGUUUCUAUCUCAAACAGUUUCUAUCUCAAACAGUUUCUAUCUCAAACAGUUUCUAUCUCAAACAGUUUCUAUCUCAAACAGUUUCUAUCUCAAACAGUUUCUAUCUCAAACAGUUUCUAUCUCAAACAGUUUCUAUCUCAAACAGUUUCUAUCUCAAACAGUUUCUAUCUCAAACAGUUUCUAUCUCAAACAGUUUCUAUCUCAAACAGUUUCUAUCUCAGUUUCUAUCUCAAACAGUUUCUAUCUCAAACCGUUUAAACAAAUUAUUCACCUUAAAAUCAAUAUAAAAAAUUCACAAUCAACCAUUUGAAGAGACAAUCCUGAAAGCAAAAACAAUUGAAAUUGGUGACCACGUCACCUCCAAAUCCAGAAUCUUCUAACCUAUGGUUUCAUUGAAAAUAAUAAGACUAGCUUCCCUUACCUGAACUUUAGCUGAUGCUCACUAAGAGCUCCAAAUCUACCAAAUGCACCGUCCUACUCAAAAGUUGAGUUAGAUAUUAACCCGUACAAAAUCUAAGAUUAACCCGUACAAAAUCUAAUAAGAUCAAAAUUAACUCAAAAGAAAAAGGGGUCAAGAAGGAACUUAAAGAAAAUAUUUUGAUGGAUUCAAAACCAGGAGUCCAACGGCAGACUCUGAUCGCCAAACUAGGAAGUUAGAAUCUUAUAGAAAAGGGAGAAAAGGAAAAAGAGGAACAAAACUGAACUUACUCUGAUCAUCAAACUGAUGAGCGAGGAGAGUUAGAGAGAAGGGAGAGUAAGGAAAAACGAAACUUUUAGAGAGAUGGUGGUUAUUUUAAAAUGAAACAUGAAUAACUGAAUUUUCUAUUUAUAUAUCAUUUUCAUUUUAAUAAUAAAAUAUUCAGUAUCAUUUAAAAUAUACAACUUCUACUCUAAGAUUAUCAUCUAAAAUAUUUAUAUAUCUUUUAACGCUUGCGUUGUUUUAAAGUUAACAAUACACCGCUCACCCUUAAUUUUGUUUAAUUUUGAAAGCUUUGAAAUAAAAAGCUAAUUCUCAACCCUGUCACUCCUUUCUUAAAGGAGCCCUUUCUUUUUUAUUCAACGCUCGAAACUAUUGUUUACAAGAAUAAUAAUAAUAAUAAAAAAACAAUUUCUCCUUUAGUAGUUUUGAAUGGGCCAAACUAUACUCUUUUCAAGAUCUCUCCUGGGCUUUUUCUUUCUGAAACUCCUAAUUUCAAUUUACACCUCCAUAAAUUUAUACUACAAGAAAAUCAUAAAAUAGAAACCAAUUUUUAGAUAUCAAAAUAAUUAGUUGUAAUAGUAACUAAAUUAGAGACCAGUUUAGAAACUAAAAAAAAAUUGAUUUCUAAAUUAGUUUCUAUUAUUGUUAAAUAAUUUUUAAAUUGGUAUCUAAUUAACUACUAAGGUUUUAACUACCAAUUAUUUAGUUUCUAAAUUUGGUUACAAAAAUCUUGGUUGCUAAUUAGAUAUCAAUUUAGAAACCAUUUAACAAUAAUAGAAACUAAUUUAGAAAAAAUAUUUUUUUUUAAUUUUUAAAAUGGUUUCUAAUUUAGUUACUAUUACAGCUAAUUAUUUUGAUUUUUAAAAAUUGGUUUCUAUUUCAUGAUUUUUUUUAGUGUUAAAUAUUCUAAAUUUAUCUUUUUAAAAUUAAAUACUUUAUUUGAUUAGUUGGUGUUAGAAUGUUUGUUACGUUUAUGAAGGAUGUGGUGUGGUUCGUAGUGGUGCUUAGUGCAUUUGGUGAAUAUCUGAAUUUUUGCAUUUUGAGUUUCACUUUUUUAUAUCACACAAUCUGGACAACUUUUACAUUAUAAAUCUAUAAUAUUAAUUUUUUAUUUUAUUUUAUAAAUUAUAAUCUGAAAUUUAUAUUUAUAUAUUUUUAAUAUAUAUUUUAAAAUAUAAAAUUUGUGAUUUUUUUAAAUAUUUUGUUUUUAUUUUAUUCUUAAGUUGUGGAAUUGCAUCACAAUCACAUAUAUUUCAUUGGUUUGUACAAACAACUAUAGAAAACAACUUUAGAAGUGAGGGCUGAAUAUAGAGAUGAAAUUCUAAUAUUGAACCAAAAUAUACGAUGAAGUAGAAAAGUUGUUUGUGAUGAAUCAAUUGGAUAUAAUGAAGUUUGUGACAACUUAAAAUGAAUUGGUUGAAGGAAAUUGUGUUUGCUCUUUAACAACAAAUAAUAUAAUUAUAAUUUAAUUAAUUUAAGUAGAAACAUGUGAUAUAUGACAUUUUUUUUAUUAGCAAAGAAUAGAAUUAAAUUAAAAGGGACAUUUCAAACCCUUAUACAAGAACCAUUCACCACAUAUAGCUAUAACAGAUCGAGGCAACCAAACCAUAAAAAUAAAUACAACACUAAGAAACCAGACACGAAAGGGCUGCCAAUACAGCUACAAAAGUGCUUCUGAAUUAUGCCGCAGAAACAAGGAAACUUGUCCCAGCAACCUGUACCGCAUGAGCUACAUUAAACGCCAUCUGGAUGCUGCCCCAUGACUACAAUACCUCUGUUGCAGCCCCAAAAACAUCCUGCUGAAACCUGCUUCUAGUCCCUUGGCCCAUCUUGUUGGUACUUCAAUGUACACAUGACCCCCAAACUGCUUACAACCGGAUCACCUACAUUGCACAAAACUAGCAACCAACAACAUUCCAACCAAAUCUUCACUUGGAUUGCCUUAAUUACUAAAGCCAAGUAGAUUCCACCUUUUUCACUUACCAACAGCACCUUCCAGGUACACCAAUGGGAGCUCCAGAUAUAAAACCAACCACGUCACAAGAUCUAAAGCAGCAUGUCGGGUUUACCUUCUUAUUUGGACAACAGCAAAAAUGCGCCUUCCAAAGGACCAAUCACUUCAGCUGCUUGUCACAAAUAUGCAAUAUAACUUAGGUCCACCCUGCACCAGCAUAGUUGGCUGCAACGCAUCAAAACAACCCCUCAACAUUAGAUUGUUACACCGUGGUCAGAGAUUGAUCAUAGUCGUGACUCAUGCAUUUGAAAGAUUCAAAAGGAGAGUCCCUUCGCACUCAUUCACAUAAACUCUCAGCUUUGGCAUAAGCUUUCCUUCAUAAUAGGAUACUCCAUCCCAAUCUAUUCUAGUAGCUACAAUCACAUUACAUCAGGAAAAACUUCUAAAAUGCUACCCCACACCACAGCUCCUACUUCACUCACCUUUCAACACUUCCUACUGAUUUCCUCACCACUUCCUCCCUUAAUUUCAUCUGCUUCACUACAUAACCGUUAUGCUUCAAAUCUGGAUAUAGAAACAAGCUGUGUGAAUAUCAGUAUUCACAUUAACUGCUCAAAAGUUCUAAAAGACCCUGCUCUGUUUGAUUUCUGCAACAACUACACAACCACACCACUACAGAAUACUAUGCUCCUCCAUUAUGACCAUCAAUCAUUCCUCCAAAAGCUCCUUGGCUUCGAGUCCAUCAUCACUAGAGACCUCCCUUUUCAGAGUACACUUUGAAGGCAUUGGCUUGGGUUCAGAUGCCAAUUCGAAGAAGCAUACGAAAAGGAGCACACCCUGUGUUUCAACCAUAACCAAGUAAGGAGUUGAGCCAUUUGGAAAAUUUCUUCAGCGUCAGGUACCCCUAGCUUAAAGAUAACACUAUUCCUCUUCUCCAAGAUGCAUCGAACUAUUGCCACCCACAUACCUUUCAACACUUGAUUCGGCUUAAUAGACAUAUGAGCCAGAUAAAAGUUCUCAAAGUGACACCUCAAAUCCUUAUGUUGAACAAACAUAACACCUAUCCACCUGAAGCAUAAAGACCAAACUCGUUGUGCAAAAGAACACUCCCAGAACAAGUGUUGAGUAGUUUCUUCUGACUCUCUACAAAGCACACAAAUAGAAGAGUUUACUGCCACCCCUCUCCUAAGAAGAUUAACAGAAGUUGGGAUUUUGUCGAGUAAGAUUCUCCAUGCAGUUAUAAGGGCUUUAGGCAUUGCUUUAACCUGCCAAAGAGAACAAAAACCGCUAUCAUGUGCAUCAUUGUUUUGAUUAGCCAGACGUACAUAAGCUGACUUCACAGAGAAGUUCCCUGUGGUAUCCCCUCCCCAGACAAGAAUAUCCUUGGAUUCCUUGUUCAUGAUGCCUUUGUUAAUGUGCGUAAGCAACUCUUCCUCCAAAAACGGAUUCCCAAUCAAACCUAGCCCUCCUCCAAUUUAGCCUCCAUUGCCAUCCAUAAACCUCGCACGUACCUACCUCUCCCACCUUCAUUCCUUGAUCCAUAGAAAGAGAAUAAAGUCUAGGAUACAUAGACUUAAGAUUAUUGUUAUUAACCGAAGCGUCUUCCCAGAAUCUAACAUUGCCUCUAUCACCAACUUUCCACACAAUAGUCUUUUGGAACCAAUCAUCAUCUUCACCCUCUCCACAAGCUUUAGAAAGAUCUCUCCACCACCAAGACUGUCAUUUCGAACGGGCUUGGCUUCUUCCUAAUUCCGAACCAUACUUAGAAAAAAGAAUGUCUUUCCACUUCCCUUUUUCAUCCUUCAUCAGUCAUCAUUUCCAUUUUUGUCAGCAAAGCAUUAUUAAAGUUUAUGAAAUCUUUAAUCCCCAACCCUCCUUUCUCAAGGGGUUUACACACAUUCUCCCAUCUUACCCAUGAUAUAGACCAGUUAUCUCUGCCCCAAGCCCAAAGGAACUUCCUUUGUAUACUGAUUAUUCUGUUACAAACCGACAUCGGUGCUUUAAAGAAGGACAAGUAAAAGAGAGGAAUGGCGGUAAACACCGAUUUAAGUAAGUAGACUCUUCCUGCCAUAGAUAAAAAUCUCCCCUUCCAGAUACUAAGUCUAGCAUUGAUUUUGUUUAUGACUGGCUCCCAAAACUAUUUCUUCCUUGGGUUACCUCCUACUUCUAAUCCCAGAUAUUUAAAAGGGAUCGUCAUGGUCAUGCAGUUCAGAGUUUUUGCAUAGGUAUUGAGGGAGAAGCUAUCAACACCAAUGCCUGCCAACUUUGAUUUGUGGAAGUUGAUUUUUAGACCUGAGGCAAGUUCAUAACACCUUAGCAUCGCCUUUAUAGUGAAGACAUUAAAGAAUGAGUCUUCGCACAUAAACAAAGUGUCAGCAGCGAAUUGUAACAAACAACACUCAAUUUCAUUCCUCCCCACCUUCUCACCUUUGAGCAAAUUCAGUUUUGACACUUGUCUCACUAACCCGGCCAAGCCUUCAGCUACCACGAGGAAGGGAAACAGAGCUAAAGGAUCUCCCUGUCUUAACCCCCUAGAGGGUUUAAAUUCCUCCGUAGGGCUACCAUUAACCAGAACAAACACAAACAACGACUCCAAGCAUCCUCUGACCCACGCAAUCCAUUUAGAAUGGAAUCCCAACCUUUGUAACAUAUCAAAGAGGAAUUUCCACUUAACCGAGUCGUACGCCUUUUCGUAGUCCACCUUCAAACAAAUCCCACUCCUCCGUUUUCUAGUUACCUCCUCAACCACCUCAUUUGCCAGAAGGACACUAUCUAACCUUCCACGAUCCUUCAAAAAAGCUAACUGACUCUCAUCAAUGACCAGAGAGAGGACAUCCUUCAUACGAAACGAUAACACCUUAGCUAUGAUCUUAUAGAUGGAUCCUACAAGGGAAAUUGGUCUGAACUGGUCAAGCGUAGUAGGGUCCCUGACUUUAGGUACAAGUGCGAUGAAAGAGGCGUUACACCCCUUUGGAAUGCACCCCGUUUCCUAAAAGAAGUGCAUCGCUUCCACAAUGUCAGACUUAAAAGUUUCCCAACUAUUCUUGAUGAAAUUGAAAUUGAACCCAUUCGGGCCCGAACUCUUUGAACCUUCACAUUGCCAAACAACUUCCUUCACCUCUUCCUCUGUGAAGCUGGACACUAUUCUUAAACUAACCUCCGCGGGAAGGGUUUUGAACUCCACAAUACCAAGAUUAACCCCACAAUCAUGUGUAACCAAGAAUCUUUGAUUAAAUGUACUCUUAGCUUCCCUACAAAUAACUUUCAGCUCUUCACACCAUUGAUGAUCAAUCUCUACACCUUUGACCUCAUUUUUAAGUCUUCUCCACUUGACUCCAUUGUGAAAGAAUUUAGAAUUUGUAUCUCCCAACUUAAACCAGUUUGCUCUAGAUUUUUGUCUACAAAGAGAUUCCACCUGCUUAUCAAUCAGCCUCAACUGACUAAACAACUCCAUUCUUCUCAACUGACCGUGCUCCUCAAGAAUAUUGUUGUCAUCGUUAACAUCGAGAUCUUCAAUAUGCCUCAAAAUUUGCUUCUUCUUGGACUCUAGACACUCAAACACAUUUUUGUUCCAUUCUUUAAGGUCGGCCUUUAGAAGCUUCAAUUUAUCUUUGAGUUUAGAUAUGCUAUUCCCCUGCACAUUAUAAGAACACCAUUUCUCCUUCACAAAGUCCUUGAAACUAGGCUCCAUAAACCAUGCGUCAAUGGUUCUAAAAGGUUUAGACCCCCAAUCUUUGACCGAAAAUUUCACCACUAUAGCGCAAUGGUCGGAUACCACUCUCGGUUGUACAUAUUGCUUGCAAGACGGCCAAAUUUGAAGCCACUCUUAGGAAACAAGAAACCUAUCUAAUCUGCUUUUACCUGUACCAUUUGACUUGAACCAAGUAUAUUUUUGACCUACUACGGACACGUCCACCAAGUAAUUGCUUUCAAUAAAAUCAUUAAAGCCACUAAUCUCCUUUUUUUUGACUAGAAUUGCCUCUAACUCCUUUCCUUUCAUCUUCUCUUCUAACUGCAUUAAAAUCCCCACAAAAGCACCAUGCCACACUUUGAUGCAUACUCUUAAAAGACGUCAAAGUUUCCCACUGAGCAACCGUAUCACUUAAAUUGCAUGCUGCAUAAACGUUUAUCACAACACACAAGCUAUUAGAUUUAAGGUGUUGGCCCAGAAUAACAAUAAAGCCACUUCCUACAACAUGUUUAUCAUACCGAAAUGCUUCUUUGUGCCACAUGGAUAAGAUGCUCCCUGCCCCAUUCACUCCUUCAUUAUGUAUCCACCCAACAUUACUAUCUCUCCAUAGCGAAAAACAUUUAUUGUCUGAUAAAGUAGAUGCUUUUGUCUCUUGCAAACAUAAGAAUUCCGUACCCUCCUUAGCAAUAAAGUGUUUCAAAUAGCGAGCUUUAGAAACCCCCCAGACCUCUAAUAUUCAUAUUGAUAAUAAUCAUAACACACCGGCAUCCUCCUCAGACGACAUCAUUACUUCGUUAUCUCUAACCUCCAUACAAUCCAUUUCUCUAAUCACUGCCUCCUCAUUACCUGAACAUUUCAUCCCCAGAUGUUUACCCGUUCCCCACAACUUGACAGAUUCAGUAUCAUUCCAUUCGACCCUCAGACGGUUAUUACAAUUGAUAAUAUCACUAUCAGUUCCGGCUUUAGAGCAGAGGCUUAACCUGGAUGAGGAUCUGAUCCCAUAUUGAAGGGUUCCUUGGCCUCCCUUGGACAUCCUUCGUGGUUGUGCAGAGGUCGCACCCAAUUCCCAGAGAGCGCGUAUCCUCUGGACUCUCUCUGGUGACUUGAACCCUUCCUUCGCACCUGCAUCUUCCUCCCAGUGCCAUCGGUCCUCCUUUCUAACACUAAAUUAUCCUCGAUUCCCUCUUCGCAGAGACUUUGAUUAUGGUUAUUAAGAAGGUCCUUGUCGCUGCAUUCCGAGGAGCUUCCGUCAUUGCCGCACCGCUUAACAAAAGGAGUUUCUUCUGUUUUAGUCAGUGUAUUCGCCUUUCCUUUCGUCGGUAGGGGUGCCCCAUAUAACAACUCACCUGAACGAUUCUCCAUCUCACCUUCGACGUCACCGGAGUAGACAGGCGAAGCCUUCGGACUUCCUGUCACUCCUAACAUGUCCCCUGAAUGACCCUCUGCCUCUCUACCCCCACCUCCCGUAUUCACAGGGCCCAAUAACAAAGUUUUUUGAUUUUGGGCUUCAACGACAAAAAGAUGGCCCACACAUGUUUCAGGCCAAGUAACCUUUGCACAAGAUAAUUGUACCUCAGCUAAGUUAGCCAAAGAAUUUUGAAUAAUCAUGCAAGCUGCGUUGACCUGUUGUGCCACUGAUAAAGCUGCCCCUACAUCAGAACCUACCUUCUCACGCAUUGCCUUAUUUGAGUAGGAGGAUCUGUCUUUUUGCUGACACACCAAAUCAUUCUGACAACACUCUUCCAAGAGCUUCUUUUUUUGUCUCUAGCGGAGCACAAACUUUGUCUCCUUCCUUGGUCGCCUCCGGUUGCCGUAAAACACCACCGUCAUCACCGUUCUCAUCCCCAUCAUCACUAGAUCUUGACGAGAAAAUCGUUUCCUCAACAAAGGAUUCCAUUGAAGAAACGCUAUCUGAGGAGUCGUAGUGAUUCACGGGGCAAUUACACACUCCUACCCCUUGCAAGGGUUCCUCCUCAACUAGAGAAAUAUUAAAAGCUUUUCCAUUAAUCUGAAAGGCCUUUACCACCCCUUCUUUACAGGACAACGACAUACGAACCUGGAAACGAGCAAAUUCUAGGUUCUCCCAUGAUAAUGUAGCCUCAUCUAUGGUUACCACAGACGCUGCUUCUCCAACCACCUUUGUAAGGCAUUCCUUGGUCCACAAAGAUAUGGGUAGACCAUAACAUCUGACCCAUACCAAUCUGUGGUUCGCUACACAUGCUUCAGACCAUGGUUCUACGUCCUUGAACACACUUACAAACCAGUCUUUGUUUAGCUUAAUAAUGUCUUCCAUAUGAUCCCCUUCCUUAGGUGUUAGGAGUACCAUGUUAUCUCCCAUAAAUCUAACUUUAACCAUACUCAUCCCCCUUUGAUAAGUUCUUCACAUAGUAAAUCAAAGUUCAUGUCUUCGGACAUCCAUCCAACUGCACUGUUAGCCAUCCAAGGAAGAACUUGUGACUUAGUUUCAAAGACAAGACCUUUCCACUUCUCUUGUGAGGUAUUUCUAACUACAUAAGCAUAAGAGUGACUCACGUUAUGUGCCCUUUUGACAUCCUUUCCUUUUUUUUUUUCUCUCCAUACCUCCUUACUUUUUGGCUUCACAGGUUCAUGAGUGAAAUGAUUUUUGGCCUGUAUGGGUAAAUCAGACUCACCACCUAAUUGUGCAGAUACAACUCUCUUGUAUUUAGGUAUGUUCACAUAUAACUUCAUGUUGCCAAUGUAGAUUUGAUCCAACUGCUUCUCUAGACAAAACACAUUUUCCACAUCAAAUAACCUCACAAAACCAAAUCUUCUUCCCCAUCUAUUAAGACGUUUUGAGAUGAAUACCUCUUUCACCCUAGCCCAUUUCUGAAAGAUCUUUAGCAUGUCAUAUUCGCCAAAGCCACCUGGAAAAUUUGAAAAGAAGAACGUAAAGUAAUUAUUCACCGAAAAAAAAUUUCUAUGCUCCUCAGUUUUCCGUCGGUGGCCUUCUCUCUCCCUCCUCCAACGUUCCUCCCUAGUCCUCCGCCAGCGCUCCUCCUUCAUGACCGUGUUUUAAUCAGUCACAUUUUAUAUGAAUAUCCAUUGAAAUGAUUCAACAAGUACAAGACAUAUGACAUAUACUUAUGUUAUAAUGUAUUUAUUUAGAUAUUUGGUAUGCAGGAUGACUUUAAUGGGUACAUAAGGUGACUGUUAAACUUUCCAUUUGUAACUGUCAUUUUGAGGUUCGACAAAGAGCAAAUGGGUCAAGGAAGAAAUACAUGUUUAUUGGAAAGUACUGUAACUUGUACAAAAUAAUGUGAUUUUACUUUUAAAUUAUUUUAAAUUAUAGAAUAAAUCAUUUUGCAAUGGAGAAGUUUGAGGGUUGAAGGUAAUAUGUGUGAUUUAUAAUCAUGAAUUUUUUUUAUGAAAACAAAAUUUGUAGAUAUUUUAUCUACGGACAUACAUCCUUAAAUAAUAUUAAUAAUAAAAUAUUACCCACCGAUAUAGAUCUGUAUGUAAAUUACUUAUAUCUUUAUAUUUGUAGAUAAAUUUAUCUAAAUAUUUAUAUAUGUAGAUAUCACUUACUAUUAUAUCUGUAUAUAGUAUUAAUAAUAUUAAUAUUAAUUAUGAUAAUAAUAAUAUUAUAAUUAUUAAUAUUAUUAUGAAUACUAUUUCUAUUAUUAUUAUUUAUUAUUAUAAAUAAUAUUAAUAAAAAUAAAAAAUAAAAAAUAAAACAAAAAUAUUUUAUCAUUAUUAUUAUUAUUUUUAAUAAUUUUUUUGAUAAUAAUAAUAAUAUUAUUAUUACUAUUAUUUUAUUAUUAUUAUAUAUUUUAUUUUGCAGGCCAGCAAACCAACCUGUCCCGCCCCGCUGUUGGCCUUCGCGAGUUGCGGUUAUGCGGGAUGAGUCUAAGCGGGUCAGCGAGCUAGAUUAGUGAACCCGCCCUACCCUUUUUAGUAGCGGGCCGCAGGUCGGUCCUCAUGGUCCACUCUACAUUGCCACCUCUAGCUUGUACCCAUAUUGGCAUAAAAUACGCUCUAACAAAUGGCAAUGUAUACACGUACCUAGAUGAGCAUAUCAAAAGAACAUGAAUAUCAACUCGAAUGAACUACUAAGAUGAUGGUCAUCGUAAGGAUUCCAAAUUAUCCUUGCAUGGGUCAGACCAUCCAACUGCAUAUACAUAAUGCUAACAUUGUGUAGUAAGCGGAUUGGGGAGGCCUUCGUUUACCAUUGGGACGCGUGUUCUCACUUUAAUCAGUUUUACCUUGAUUGAACUUCUCAGAAGACUAAGAAAUAUUGAAGGUGUUUGUGGAUUGCUAUGAUUGGGGAAAUUUAGAAACAAAGGAACCUCGUUAUCUUUAAGAAUGGUAGAGUGGAUUGUCUGGAGAUCUUCACCUUGGCCCAACUCAAGGUGUGGUCUUGGCUCACGAGUAGAGUAAACAAUGUUUCAUUUACGUAUGCUUAAUGGUGUCUGGACCCUUUGUUCUAUUUGAAGUCAAUUAAAAAGUAAAUGUGGAGUUGGGGUCUUUGUGAGUUUUGGUAUGUGUUGCAGGUUUGUCAGGUGGUUCCGGGGUUUUGAAGCUUAUUGAUUUAUUUCUUCUUAUUGUUUUACUUUUCCCCUUUUGGAUGGAAGAACUUGAUAGGAUCUUGGUAGGUUUUUUGGUUGGAGCUCUUGACCUACUAGGGUAAUGAGCCUUUAAAAUGGACGUUGUCGGGCAGUGCUAGUGGGGGGAAUCUUGUGGGGGCCGGUAGGUUAGCUUAGUUAACUUUGAUAUAUCUUGUUUUUAUGGUUUGGGUUCUACUAACGUUGGUCUUUGGCCAACAAAGGGGUUUAUUCUUGGUUGUAGGUUGUAAGUUGGAAUCUGGUGUUUUAUAGGUAAGCUUAGUUUUUUGCUUUAUCUCUGGUGGUGUGUUUUGAUCAGGGUUUAUGGAAAUCGGACAUAUCGGCAUGAAGGUAAAGGUACUCUAGGCUUUGAAGAAGAGUGGUUCUUUUAGCAUGAUGUUGUGAGUUUGGCUGUGGGUAAGGGAUUUGAGUUGUAUUAGUUUUUUGAUUUGUAACUAUGUUUGUAGAAUUUUGGUUGUAGUAGGAUUUGUUUUGUGUGUAUUGUUUGGACUAAAGACUGGUUGUAUGAACCUGGAUAGGGGAGUAAGGGCUAACUUGCGUGGUUUGCCACUCCUUUCUUUUGAGGUUGGGUUUGGAGGUCUGUAGAGCCUGAAUGGUCAGGUUUUGUGCAUGUUGGAUUUGGCUAUAUAAUGUAUAAGGGUUGAGACACCUGUGAAGUAUCUCCUUUUAUUAUAUUUAUUUUUUUGCUGAGAAAAAAUAAACAUUGUGUAUAUAUCGCCUAGUGACAUAUUUUCUUGUUCAUGAGUCAACCCCUAAUAAAGUGAGAUUCAUAUAUUUCACUCCUAUCCUUAAAAAGUGCUCGUGUAUCAAUGCCUAUUACAAUUUCAACAAAAAAAAAUUGUUCAUAUAUUCAUAUGAAAAUAAAUCUACCUUAUACAAAUUAUAUAUAUUAUCUACCUGUAAAAUCGUAAUAUAACUGUCCAAUUAUUUUUUUUUGAACAAACACAUAUUCCUUAACUAGUCCUACAUCUGAGUCACAUGUAUUAUUUCCUCAAGUCUUUAUACAUUUAUUAUACUAAUAAAAAAUGAAUUUACUCAAUUUACCUAUUUAUAACAAUAGAAUAAAAAAAUUUACAUAUUUUUACCAAAUAUUAACUAUAAUUAGAAAAUAAUAUUAUUAAAAUAAUAAAUAAAAAUUAAAGUGUUAAUAUAAUUAAGUAAUAAUAAAUAAAUUAAGUAGUCAAACUGUGGAUACAUUGAAAAAUGUUAUAAUAUUAAAAAACUGAAAAUGUCAAUCUAUAUAAUUAAAAAUAAUAAAUAAUUAAUAAAAAUGAUAAAAAAUUAUUAUUAAUGGUUUACAAGUAAAACCACCCACCAUAUUCAUUAAUUUAACUUGCAACUGCAUACCAUGUUUAAAAAAUCUACAUCAUUGAUUAGAUACAGAGCAAACUAACAGUGUCGAUUACUACCAUCGCUAACUCGUUUUGAGAAUCUAUACUGCGGAACGGAUUUAUUUUUUGCAAUAGGGUCCAAGAUCCCAACCUUCUUUUACCAGUCAAUAAUAUUUGUUUUAGGCAGAAAAUUAUUUUAUAAUUGAAAUUUGUUCUUAAUUAGAAGUAUUUUGCUAUGCUACCUUUUUUUGUGUAAUGUUAUUUAUAUAUUGUGUAUCAUCGUUUAUUAAUCAGUGAAAAUCAUUCAAAUUUAUUUUAUAUAUUACUUUUCAAAAUUUCUAGAGUAAUAAUUAACAAAGACUUAUUAAUUGACAUUAAAAAUCAGUUAUUUAAAACCACGAACACUUUUCACUUUCUAAAAUUAAUAUAUCUAAGAUAGUUUUUAUUUAAAGAAUUUGACGGUGACAAUAAUGAUACUUGAAUGUUAUUUAAUCGUGUUAUUUUAUAACAUAUUUUAUUUAAUAUAGUAUUAUUCAAAAGAUAAUUAUAUCAUAUAUUUUUAAUAAAUAUUAUAUUUAUCCCAUUUGAUAACAUAUAUAGUUCAUUAUAUUUUCUUCUUUCUUAACAAAAUAAUUAAGCAUAAAGUAUUUUCUCUUUUCAAAAGUAUCUUUUUAUAAUACAUAUUAUGAUUGUUUUGAAUAUAUAACUUUUUCUUUUUUUUAAUAAAAAUACUAUUAUUUAUAAAAUUUAAGAAAAAUUAAGAAUUUUGGGGUUGCCAUGACAUCUUUCCUAUCGAAGAGACUCUUUUACUAGCUGCCUUCCCUAGUUGUCAUUUGUUAUAACUAAUCAUAUUUUUCUUUACUAUUACGAAUAAUUUAACUCUUUUUUCUGGGUACUUUAGGGGUAUCAAAGUGAAGAAAUGAAUAUCUUUGCCAAAAUGGGCUUGCAUAUUUAGAUAUAAUAUUAUAUUGUCAAGUAUAUUUGUGCAUAUAUGUUAUAAAAUCCUACUGUCAAAAUUUGAUACCUGGGCCAACUCCAAUGCAUUACUUGUUACUUUUUGUUUUUGUAAAAGGGAAAAACAUGCUUACAUCAAUUCACGUGCAAAUGGACAAGCAAAUAGAUAACUUUGAUAUGCAAGUCAGAGCCUUUUGUUCAUGAAUGAUUGAGUUAAUCACAAUGGGGACAGACAAAACUAUUCCUAUAUACUUUCAAUAAUUCACUGCAUAUCAUAAAAUAAUAGAUUGCAAGCUCGUUUUUUCCUUUCAAAACCAACACUUUUAAUAAUUAAAAUGUUAACAAAAAUAUUUUUUUUUUCUAAAUCAAAUGAACAAACUUAAUCAGCUUAUACCGAAAAACUAAAUAGAACAUAUACAGAUAUUGCAUGGAACUGAUUUUAGAGGCAGUGUCAUUGUAGCAGCUGCCUCAGCCACUGCCUAGAGCAUUGCUGCACCAGUGUUGAUACUGCCCUUCAUAUACUGCACUUUUUUUUAUGGCAUUCUACGGCUCUGGUAAGGAUCAGAGACCACAACAUUCAUCAAGUAGCUUUACAACUUUCAUCUUCUCAAAUUUUCCAGAUAAUUAUGGGGAAUACGAUAGGAUCAAGAUCUUCCGGUGAUGGACUAGGGUAAAGGAAGUGUUCAACAGGUGGGGGGAGAAGAUUUGGGUUUUUGAGGCUCUUUGAUGUGGAAAACACAAGUACGCUGGAGAGGGAGCUGGACCAAGUUCGCGUAGGCAAUAUGAAACUCUAUGUCAAUAUUCCGCGUUAUAGAAGAGCAGAGUUGGAGCAACCGGUGAGUCACACAAAAUCUGCGGUGGAACAACCAUACCGUAAGUUCAAUGAAGCUAGGAAACGCUACAAACAAGAACCAAGGGAGAAAAACAACAAAGAGGUAUGAAGGGUUAAGAAAGGGAAGGAGAAGAAUGAAUGGAGAGUGAUCAAAGAAAAGCAAUCCUACGCGGGUGCAGUGAAAAAAUCUUCAAAAGGAGUAUGGAAGGUUCCUAUUAUUGAAACCAAGCAACAAGUCCUACCUUGGAUGUCUAAUAGUGCAAUGAGGCAUAUAUUAACAAAUUUAAGCUAUAAUCAGUUGUGUGAAGAAUUCAUCAUGGGGGGAUGAAUAUGGUUAAAGUGAGGUACUUGGGUGAUAAUCUGACUGUGUUAACUCCUAGAGAAGGGGAACAGAUGGAAGAUCUUAUCAUGUUUAACAAAGAAUGGUUUGAAAAUGUUUUUGAGGUUAUUGAGCCAUGGUGAGAUUCACACGUAGCAGGCCAUAAAAUUGUUUGGGUUAGAUGCUAUGGGCUCCCUAUAUCUCUGUGGAACAAAUAUUACUUCUCUAAAGUGGUAGGUGAGGUAGUUUCCUUAGUGUUUAUUGAUAAGGCAACAAAAUCAUGGGAUAACCUUGAGUAUGCAAGACUCCAACUGCGUCUCCUUAAGUCGUGCUCUAUCAGCUUAGCUAAGGGGAUGAAGAUCAAUGGCCAUGUAUAUAACAUUUGCAUUGAAGAGGAGCACCCUAAUUUUGUUGAAGGUAAAUGUAAGUGCACGUUUAAUCACUAUGCUUCAUUAGGUAGUAUAACGUUAUCAGAGUCCUUUGUGGAGGAAACCUAGUUUUCGGAAAAGAAUGUUGAUGAAGAUGUCAGGAAAGGGGGAGGGGAGUUGCGGUGGCCAGAGGACUCGAUGAGAGGUGGGAAUGUCAACAUCCCGCAUAAGACAAACUUGUUGUAUGUUGAGGAAUUGUGUGUGCAUGAUAAAAAUGGGCAGGAGAAAGGUGGUAGUUCUUACACAAAUAAGGUAAAGGGGAAGCAGACAAAAUGUGUAGGGGACUCAACUUUAUGUGUCCUAUAUGGUCAAUGUUGCAUGCAAAAGCAACUUUGUCCAAGUAGCCUUGACCAAUCUUCUUGUAGUUGUGGAGGCCUUUAACAGUAGCAAGUCCAAUAAGAAUGUGGCCCAAAGGCUGCGUAGAGGCCUAUUCGGGGAGAGGUGUAGAGGCCCAAUUUUGGGACGACGACCCAUGUUAUGUAGAGGGUGGGCACGUAGAAUCAAUGGUUGGUCUAGUACGUGAGGAGGGCGUAUGGGCCAUUGGGAGCGAAACCGUGACAACCACUUUGAACGACAGUGAGAAAGGGAGUUCGUUCGUGGAAGCUAGCGACGAUAGUGAGAAUGGAGAAAAUCUGUUCAUGGAAAACAGUAGUGCUAUAGAGAGGGGAGAAAAUAUGUUUGUGGAAACCAGUAGCGCUAUCGAGAAUGGAGAAACACAUUACACACCCAUCAAUAGUAGCGCGUGCUCCGCCCAGGUGGGCAACUCGCACAUAGAGGAAGGUCCCCGAACCAGUCUCAUUAACAAAGGCAUCAGGGACGAAGUAGGUAUUCAGAUUCAGAGCAUUGAUGACCACGAAAAACAAUCCUUAGUGUUCGAUGAUGAAGAAGAUGAUAAGGGGGAUAAUUUUGUUACCCCGCCACGACACCGACGUCAGAAGGGUUGUGGGAGUUGGGAGAAUCAAGCAGGAUGCCUCGGGGGAAGUCUAGAAUUGGAGCGGGAAGUCUUUAUGUAGGGAUUUUCUCAGAUUCAAGGGUUAGUACAAAUUCUAACACCUUAUCUGGCGACAAUAUUGUUAAUUGUAACAGUAGAUUUCAGAUUUUUGGAAAUAUUGAUGAACCUAUAUAUCAAUUUUUGGGAGGUAGGAAAACAGUUAGGGGUCUCAUGUUGUGGGUAUGAGGAUGAUGUGGUCAAGGAAAUAGAAAGAAGGGAAGCAAGAGAUUUGGAGGUUAUGAAAAAGUACGAGGAGAGAAAUAAGGGGAGUUUCUUAUGAUUAUUGUGAAUCUGAAUAUAAGAGGUCUUGGGGAGGGAGGGUACUAAGGCUAAAUAUAUGAAAAAUAUUAUAGCCAACGAGAGUGCGAAUGUGUUGUGCUUACAAGAAACAAAAACAGUUGCGUUCUCAGAAGCUAGGUGUUUUUUGCUAUUGAGGAUAAUAAUGUGGGAUGGUUACAUAAUGAAGGUAUAAGUGGUGAUGGGAGUUUGCUAAUUACGUGGCAUAAAGAAGCGUUUCGUUGUGAUAGUCAUGUGGAGGUAGGGGCUUCAUUUAUAUUUUUGGUAAGCAUAUCAUAUCUAAAAUAAAAUGUGUGGGGAUCAAUGUGUAUGCAACGUGCAAUCUGAAUGACAAAGUGACCUUAUGGGAGGAAUUGACAACCAUUAAAAAUGCAAAUAAGAACUUGGCAUGGUGUCUUUGUGGCGAUUUUAAUGCUGUAAGAUGUGAAAAUGAAAGGAAAGCUAAAAGUGAAAGGGGCAACCAAAACAAUGAGAUCACUGGCUUUAACCAUUUUAUCGAAAGGAAUUUCCUGGUGGAAUUGCCAAUUGUGGGUAAGAAGUAUACUUGGUACAAGGAAAAUGGUACAACAAAAAGCAGACUAGAUAAAGUGCUUUUGUCUGACGUUUGGUUACGGAAAUGGCCAAUGGACAAACAAUAUGUACAACCAAGAGAGGUGUUAGAUCACUGUGCCAUAGUGGUGAAAUGUUUGGCCAAAGAUUAGGGUCCUAGACCCUUCAGGACUAUUGAUUCUUAGCAGAUGGAGUAUGGAUUCAAGGAUAUGGUGAGAGAUAAGUGGAAUUCUUACUUUGUUCAAGGCUAAAGCAUAACGAAAUUCAAAGAUACAAGCUAAAAAGUAUUAAGGCAGACCUCAAAGAGUGGAAUAGAGAUGUGUUUGAGCAUCUGGACAUAGAGAAGAACAGAAUUAUGAAGGAAAUUGAGGUUUUAGAUAUCCAAGAUGACGUCUUCGACCUCGAAGGCCACGCAAGGUUGAAGAGAAUGGACCUUACAGGUCAAUUGAGAGUGAUCAAUAAAAAGAUGAAGUCUCUCUUUAGGCAGAAAGCUAGAACUAACUGGUUUGUGCAUGGAGACUCUAAUUCUAAAUUCUACCACUCCGUAAUUAGAUGGAGAAGACUUAGAAAUGAGGUAAAAGGUGUCCUUGUGGGGAUCAAUGGUGUGAGCAACCUGAGGUUGUUCGAAGGGAAGCAAAAACUAUGUUUGAGGAUAGAUUUGUGGCUACACAUGAUUUUGGGGUUUAGGGUUUAACAAAGACAAUCAAGAAAAAGGCACACAAAAAGAAUCUAAGAUACUUACUAAACUUUUAACAAUGAAACUUUCUUUAGAAAUUGUUAAAGCAAAAGGAUAAAAAUUCCACAAUGUUAAAAUCAAUUUGUCAAUCAAAAUGGACCCACUAUUUUGAAAUGUUGCUAUUUUGAAAAGGUUGGAACCAAUAGACUUGCACAACUUCUCUUAUUUUUUUUUUAUACUAUUAUGGAAAUGAAAUGUCCAUAGUUUUGAUCAUGCAUAUUUUCAUAGACCUCCAAAUAUCACAAAAAGUUUGGGAUUCAAAUUAAUUGAUGACUUGAAAUCUUUUGUUUGGAACUUAAAUCUACUUCUACUAAAACAAACUUCCAAUUACUUUUAAACUUUCACAAUUAAAAGCAAAGUAAGUAGAAUCAAAAUAUAAGGACUCUUAGAACACUAAAGAACAUAUGACUCAAGACAAAAGAGGCAAGAACAAUAAAAGACAUAAAGGAACAUUCAAAAUGAGAACAAAGCCAUUGAAUAACAAUAAUGCCAAAUUGAAAAAAAGGAAAGUAAAGGACUGAAAUUAUAUGUGCUUGAAUGUAAAGACAAGAAAUUAAAGGUGUUUGAAUGUAAAGAUAAGAAAUUAAAGGUGUAAGAAAAGUAAAGUGCCAAAUCAAUUCAAAGCAAAAUAAGCUCAAGAACCUAAGCUCUGAUAACCACAUGAUGUGAGUUGAUUUUUAGAUGGUUCCAUUUUAUGGUGACACUUUUGCUUAAAGUUGGGAUUUUAGCAAUUUAUGGUGAAACCUAAGGAAGAUUCCCACUGAACACGAACUUAACCAAAUAGUUAAGUAAGUGUGAAGGUUCACUUCACAAAGGCAAAGAUGAAAAAUCAAUAUAAAAUGAUGCAAUGUGGAAUGGAAAUGGCAAUAAGGUAAGUAUCAAUGGUGGUCAUGGCCGAACCAAAUGAUGAACCAUUAGCAUAUAACAAAAGCAAAACAAAGUGUAAGAGUCCAAGAUAAAGACAUAUAUGAAAUGGAAAUGAAUUGAAAAGAGUGGAAGAAGAGUAGCUUAUGGAGUGAAUGCGAGAGUGGUUCACGUCACUUGGGGUGUGGUAGCCACCAAGAUGAGUGAAGAGCCGCCACUUGAGAGUCUCACACUACUAAAGAUAAGACCUAAUGCUAAGAGGAAACAGGCUUCAGUAACACCUCACACAAAUUGUGCAGAGUAACUUUUCUAUUUAAAUUCAACAUUAAAAAACAAGGAGUAAGGCACCCUAUUUAUAGGAAUGGGUGCAUUGGUGGACAAGAAGGGCAAGGGUAGGGUGGUAAAUGUGUGAGGGGGUUGCCUUUAGGGUUUGACUAAUUCAAAACUGCACCCUAGUCUUGUUCUUCUAGAAACUAGGUCAAAUUUCCUUCCUAAAACACUAGAAACAAGCUAAAAUGAUAACUACACCCCCUAUUAUGCUAUAGGCACCUAUUCUAGCCUAUCUUGCUAUUUUGGACCCCAAAAUGAGCCCAAAUUACUUACAUAACUUUUCUCUUGUGGAAAGGCCAAAAGGAAGAACUUCUGAUAUUCUGGUUUAUAGCUUGUUCUUCUUCUGCUGAUGCUUUCUCGAGGUUUGGUGGACCCGACUUUGUAUACUGAGAUGAUUGACCUUUUUGUGAAUUGUUUGUUGUGUCCUUAGUCCUCUACUGAUUGUUGUGGUUUGUAUCACUAGACAAUGGUGGUUCAUUGUCCAACACUUUUUUUUAAUCAACAAUAAAAAUUUAAUAAAUAGGAGUACUCAGGGUACUCCAACCCAUGUACAAAAAUCCCCUAUGCUAGAGAAAUGAGGUUUCCAGAUAAAAAUGACCAAAACAUAGCCAUAUUCUACCCAUAUAAUUCUAAUAAGCUUAAACAUCUUUAAAAACAUCUAGAUAUCAAUACAUAAAUCAAGCUAUCUAUAAAAAAAUCCAGCAAUCCAAUUCCAGAAUAUAAGCAUGUCAACUCUAAAGAAAGACUUUGCCUCCUUGCUAUCUACUGCAGUUUCCCAAGCACCCAUUAUGACUAUAGUUGUAGCCCAAGGAAAUUCCUCUCAUGCAAACCGAGAAUCCAGCAAAAAAAGUAGAGAAAAUGUGUUAAUCAUCAAUGUAGUGAUUUUAAACUUUCAUAUACAUUAAUACACCAAUCAGAAUAAGAGAAAUUUGACUUUGGAAAUUUAUAACUUACCCAUGCCCACGCUUUUACUUGGACCAAAGCAAUUUUUUUAACAGGAUCCACCAUUGCAUUAUUGAAAAUUAUCCUAUUCCUAUGGUUCCAAAUUCCUCAAAUAAUGGAAAUCCACAUACAUUUCCAGACACAAUUUCCCAAGUAGUUUAAACCUGUAAAACCUAUUUGUUUGUUGAGUAACAUUAUCACAAUGUACAAAAGUUCUACCAGCCCAAGCAUCAGAGAUAUACCACACUUUAGAAGUCACUUUAUAUGUGAAAAAAAGAUGAUUUACUGUUUCAAGCUCAGACCACACAUGGCACACAUCCCCUCUCCAACCUUAAUUCCUCUAUGUAUUAAAUUAUCAUAUGUUGCAAUUUUACCAAUUAAAACACGUCAGGCAAAGUAAUGUGCUUAUGGAAGAGCUUUUAGGCUAAAAAAAGAAUCAAAAUUGAAUGCAGAGAAUGAAUGUGGCUGCAAAAUAUUUUGGUGGCAAAGAAUUUUAUAAGCUGAGUUAACAAUAAAAGAAUUUGAGGUAUCACCUACCCACAUCCACUCAUCAUUUUUACAAGCAUAUAUUUUAAUAGUCUUCAAUUCAUCCAUAAAUUCAUUUAUAAUUUCAGUUUCCCAUUAAAACUACUAUUUUCUCCAUUCUAUUUGCCAUACCCAUUGGUUUUCAUGUCAUACCCUACAGAACCUUCUUUAAGCACUGAGUUUUAAAAAAUUAUGGGAUUUCUAUUUUUCAGAGUAUCAUUUCCUAUCCAAUAAUCUGUCCAAAACAGAAUAUUACUCCCUGCACCGACCUUCCACCUUCUCUGGUUAUCAAACUAACAAUUUGAGUUUCCUCCACACACCUUCUUGAUAUCUCUCCACCACCAAGAUUUAGUAUUUGACACAACACUAUCAUCCAACCCUCUCCAAGAACCAUAUUAAGAUUACGGGUGGCAAAGCGGCCCGCCCGCCCCGCAUAGGCCCGCGGGCUGGCUUGCAUUUUUGUUUUGAAACAUGGAGGAGAAGUGGAGGCAGCAACGGUGCGGUAGCAGUGAUGUGCGGCAACAACAGUGUGCAGUAGCGCGACAGUUGCAGGCGAAGCCGCACGGAGUUGCAAGUGGAGCGAGCGAAGUCGCAGGUGGAGCGAGCGACGACACUGCAACAGAGAGUGCGUCGUGUACAUUUUUUGGAACAACAUAGUUGCGUUGUGUUUUGAGUGAAAACCUAAUUUUCUUUCACUCAAAGUUGCAUCUCUUCCACGGACCAUUGCUGCCAAGUCAAUUUUUUUUUUUUUUAGCGAGCUAGCAGGCCAGCCCGCCUUGCCCCACUGCUGGCCCAUCCCACUUUGCCACCCCUAAUUUAGAUUCCAAUACCGGUUUCCAAAGUCCUUAUUUUUCACAACCAAGUCCCCAUUAUCAUUUCCCAAGAAGAACAAUAUUAAACAAAUUUACAUCCUUAAUUCAUAGUCCUCCUUCCGAUUUGGAUUGACAUAGGAAGUCCCACUUGAUCCAGGCUAUCUUCCUUUUAUCACUUCCCCAUCCCCAUAAAAAAUCCCUUUGUAAUCUUGUGAUUAAUUUCGCAACUGCCAUAGACAUUUUGAACAGAGAUAAGUAAUAUAAAGCGACAGCUGAAACAUGACAGAUUUUAUCAAAAUAACUCUUCCAGCAAAAUAUAAAUGUUUUCCAUUCCAACUAGAAAGCUUAGUUUUAAUAUUUGAUUUCAUGUCUUUCCAAAACACUUUUUUUCCUAUUAUUAUCUCCCACAAGACAUUGUCCUGCACUUGAUAAUUCAAGUGACGUUAAUCUGCCGACGAGGGAGCAUUAGAGUUGGAAUCCAGCGGCUUGCUCUCUGUGCAAUUGGGGGUAUGGCAGCAAGCCUACUGUGGAGGGGUUGCAAGCCAAGUUUAGACUAUGGUAUCUUACAGUAUAGGAGAUUGGGAACAACCAUUUUUUCUAUCUUCUAUUGUCUAUUUAUAUCAAUACUACAAUCCCUCUUUAGGAAUUUGUUUGACUUGGCUCUAUGCAGGUUAAUUGCUAGGAAAUUUAGUGGCUGCUGGUGUUUUUUUUUAUGCAGAACCAUCUGUUUGCUAAGUUGUGUUAAGCUUUUCUAAGUCGUGGUAGAUUUGUUCCCGUAUGGCGUGGAAGAAUGUUUUUUGGUUUGACUAGGAGAAAACGUUUUGGUUAUCGUAUAAGAGUUUGAACACUAUAAAGUCUUCAUUAAAUUCAAUUAUUCUUUGUUAUAAAAAAAUUGGAAAAACUAAAUCUGUAUGGAAAAUCUCAUAUUCCACAUACUGAUAUAUAUAAUGAAUGUGCAGUCAUCAUAUUUUUGAAAAUUUAGAAUAUAUAUAUAUAUUUUAGAAUAUUUGAAAGAUGUUUUAAUUCAUAUAUAAAAUAUUAAAAAUUUAAAUAAAUCUUAUUUAAAAAAUUACGAGAAAAUAUAUAUAUUUAAAAUUUGUCCAACAUAACAUAUAAAAUAACUAUCAACACAACACUGCAUCCUAAAAGGCGGAAGCCUUAAAUUUUCAUUUCUCGCAAAAAUCUGUAUUUGCACCUGAAACAAAGCCCCACCCCACGACACUAACGCAUUAGUAACAUGUAUAUGAUCAUUUGAAAUGUUAUUGAUCGAAACUUAACAUUAUAAAAACAUUUGAUUUUGAUAACGUGUGGAAUAAGGAUUUGUUCGAAAUUGGAGUUUGGUUUGGUGUGAAAGAAUUAUCCGAAAAAAGAAAAAUGGAGAGGAAAGUGGUAGAGUAUAUAAAGACGAAAUGAGAUGAGUGGGUUUGAUAGUCACGGACGAGUGAUUCCCAUAUGAGGAGGCAAAUGACAUGAGGUGCGACAAAAGUGUCACAAUAUCUUUACUAAUAAUUACAAUAACGAACAUUUCAGAGACUAUACUGUCUCUGUUGGAUGCAGAGCACUGUGCCCAGCCAUCACACCUUUAUUCAUUUACUUAACGCCAUAAAGAUCUUUCACCAAAUGAAUAAUGACGUGAGACCUAACCCUAAUUGUGAGCAACCACGGCACUGCCCUACAGUGCAUGCUAACAUGCAAACAGUUCAGAGAGAGAAGAACUCCAUAAGAAUGUGAGUUUCAAAAGUGGUCAACAUGCUCAGGAAUAUUUCAAAAUGAUAGGCUAAAAAGGCUCAUCUUUAAGCAAAGGAAUGUCAACAAAAGCACAUCAAAAUGUGAACGGCGUUUAUCAAGUUUUGUAGUGCUGCUAAUGGAGUUAGUAACCAUUUUUUUUAAUUAAUAAUAUUGUUAAAUAAGUAUUUUCAUAUAUAUAUAUAUAUAUAUAUAUAUAAAAUUAUGAUAUAAGCACAUGUCUCUUUUUUAAAAAAAGAAAGUAGUUUGGUGUCUGAUAAAUAAUAAUUUAAAUGUAAAAAAUCGUAAUUAUAUUUUUGAUUUGUAUGCUGUCAUGCACGUUUAUACUAGUCUUGGUAUCUUAUGUGAUGGUCUUUUAAUAAGAUUUUUCUUGAAAAGUAAGGAAUUAGGUGUAUGAAAUACAAAAUUGGUACUGCUUUAUUUUUAAGUUUUGUGUAGCUGUAGUGGGUAUGGUAUAUGUUAAUUAUAGCUAGAAAACAAUGGUGAAAUUGAAAGGAAACCAGGGUUUGUCGUUUCCAUUGGAAUAUAUCGAAUACGUGAAGAUGCUGAGCAAGAGAGUCAGCAUCCUCGUCUGUUGAGCAUUGUGCACAACCUGGCUGGCUUUACCGUAUUUACUUUUCUAUCUCAAACUAAACUUUAUCAUGAAAUUCAAUGAAACAGUAAAUUUAUUCAGAUGUCUAUCACUGUCAAAGUGAGAGAGUACUGAAGAGAAAGGGAUCGAUGUACUCAAGAAAAACAUAAGAGUUGCAAUUUAUAGAAUCGAAAUCAUAGUUAAUAGACCAAUUAGACUUCUUUUCAUAACAAAAUAACCUUAAAGCAGUUUUAAAUAAGUUCAUACAUACGUAACAAGCUAUUUCUUUAAUGUUUUUUCAUUGUGCCUAAUCUUUUCCUUAUUACAACGUUGACUUUCCAAAAUGAUGAUUUGGCUAUGCUGCUGCCUUCAGGUCAGGGUCCAAAGAACUCAGUACCCAUGACACGUUGUUGUUGUUGUAGUUGUUCUCUCUGUGAAAAUCCACCAUUCAUAUUUCUAACCAUUCCUCCAACACCCAAAAAGUCUAAGGUCAACUUAUCAGAACCUCCAAAGUUUACAUUAUUAAGAUUCUGGGGCAACUUAUGGUUGGACUCGUCGACGUUGUGAAACCCAGAAAGGUUGUUUUCAUUCCCUUGCAUGUUCCUAAACAAGGACGUGUUUCCAUUAGCAAUAGAGUUCAUCAACCCUUGAAGAUUGUGGUGGUGGUGGUGACCAUUUUCAGCUUUGGAACCAUUGCUAGACAUUCCUCUAAGUAAAGAAGAACCGCUGGUGGUUGUGGUUGAACCCAUUUGAGAGGCUUUUUGAAGCAACACAGUGGCAGACAUAUGAGGGGAUGAUACGUUUUCUAUUGAAUCACCAAAGAGCGAAGAAAAACUUGAACCCACAUGAUCACUUACUGCAGGGUUGUUAUUAACAAAGAGUGGUGGUGGUGUUGUUCCUUGGUCACUACCACUUAUGUUGUUGAAUUGAUCAGGGAUAAUGGUGCUAGUGCUAUUGCUACUUGGGAAGAAGCUGAGGUUGAAGAGAUUGGAAUUAGGAGCAGCAACUGAUGAAGAAUUGGAGUUGUUAGUGUUGCCAUCAAGAGCAGUGAGCUGCAUUAGGCCAUGUAGUUGCUUGUUUGAGAAUAGUUGUCCUUGUUGUGAUUGGUGUUCUUCAAAUAAUGUUUGAUUGGUGUUGUUAUUCAUGAAGAAAGCUGAGGAAGGCAUUGAUUGUGGUGAGUGUCCAAAUGAAGACUGAUUUAGAGGUGGAAUCAAGUGCUCAAACUUAAGAGCUGCACCAAUGUUAGUGACUGUUUGGUUCUGAUUUUGAACUUGGGAAAGUUGGGUACCCACUUGGGAUAGGGUUAAACUAGUGUGGUUUGUGCCAAACAAAUGAGUUCCCAAAGGAUUUGAGCUACUGGGGUAUCUUGCACUCUCAUGUGCUAAUGCAUCACAGAACGCCCUAUGAGUGAUGAAACUGUCACGCCUGCAUCAAAAAUAUAAUAAAAGGUAUACAUAAAUUGACCACAUCUUCCAUUAUAGAAACUGACAAAGGUGAAUUUAUUACGUCGAGUAUUAAGUAAGACUUAAAAUUAUAUUAUUAGUAUGCUCCAGUAAGAAUACAAUAUAAUAAUCAAAAUGUUCCUAAUCAGCUCAAUAACAACUAUUAUGCCACCACAUCAACACAUAAAAUUCUUGAACCAAACCAUAUAUUAAUUUUAAUAACGUAUAUAGGUAACCUAACACCGUCCAACCUAAAGAAUUUUGGAACUGUAGAAGUUCAAGAUAUAUAUAUAUAUAUAUAUAUAUAUAUCAAUUAUUUAACCAACCAAUUCCAAAGGUAUAGUCAAAUAUAAAAUAAAAAAUAAAAUAGGAAAUGUUUUUUUCUUUGUAAUUGGAACUGCAAUUUUGAAAAUAAAACUCUAAUGGAAACAGAGGGCCCAGGGGAUCAUUAUACCAAAAGAUGAUACACACAAGAAAUCCAAAUCUAACUGCCACUUUAAGGUCUCUCAUUAAUCAAUAAAAGAGAAUUAUUUUCAGCUUCUGAUGAAAGUCAAUUAUCAUAAGACCAAAGAUGGGGCCAGUUCAAUAAAUGCAAACAACCUCAAUACUUGUCUAUUUUCUACGACGAGAAUUCAUUUCAAAGCAAUGGUAGAAUACAAAAAUUGCUGAUAUAGAAGUGGCGAAUUAAUGGUGAGAAUUUGUUUAGCAAUGAAUAAAGAAAUAAUGGGAAGUGGUGACAAUUAUGCAGCUCGGACCCAUUGCAAGAAGAUAAGUGUAUUUAUAUAUGAACCGAGCCAAGCCGAAAGAGAACAAAAGCCAGCAUCUCCAACUCAUGUGAGAACAAACCCAGUAUCACUAUGCCUGUUGCCUUUGCAGAGUUGCUUAACUGCACGUGAAUGGGAAUAAGGGUGGGGGCACAGUUCCCGAGGACCAAAGUUGAACUUGCUUGUUUUUCUUCCCAAAGCAUGUCAAUUUUGGUACCCCAUUUCAACAGUCUACUCACGUGCGAGCAGUCUCCUGCCAUGCCUCCACUAACACCCAAGGAAAUGAAUGGAGAAAGCUCUAGUUCACAUUUAACUUCUGUUUCGACUAUUUACUCAAUUUUUUCAAACUAGCGACACCUUCUUAGGUUGCGUUUAGAAAUGCUUAUAAUAAAAAUGCAUCAAGCUUAAAAGCUUUUACUAGUGUGAAAAAUUCAAAACCCACCAAAGAGUAUGAGAAACCCUAAUUUUUCAUAAACUGGAUGGUGUGUGUGUAUUAUAUACACAUUUGAAGAAUGUAUAAAGUGCAGUGGAAACUAAGAUAAAAUGGGUUGUUACCUAGAGAAGAGAGUGCCACAGUCACAUCUGUACUCUCUAGUGCCACAAGUCUUUGAAUGUGCUUUCCAAUCAGAUUGAACAGCAUAUUUCUUUGAGCACUUUUCACACUUCCACUUCUUCUCACCAUGCUUGCGAGAGUAGUGCUUCUUGAUUCCAGUGAGGUCUCCCAAAGCCCUUGAAGGAUCAUGAUGGACGCAGGUGGGCUCGGGACAAAGAUAAACCUUUCUUUUUUGCUCUUUUGUACUCUUCUGCUUUAGCUUCCAAGGAAGGUUGUGUCCUCUUCUGUGAAGCUGUAGGUUUUGCUCCCUUUGAAAUCCUUUAUUGCACACCUCACAUAUAAACCUGUUUGUUGCCAUUAGGGUCUUGGGAGAUAGUUUUAUCACCUCCGCGUCUGGAUCUUUUACCCCCACAAAAAUGACAAACAACAAAUUAUUAAAAAACUCUCAUGCUUCAAUCACUUGCUCAAAUUGAAUACGCACAAGAAACAGAAGAAUAAUCUUUCUUUUUUGACCUUGUUUUAGAACCACGUAGGAAUUUCAAUAGUAAUGAUAAAAAAAAAAAUACAAAUUUACGAAGAUUAUUAAAAAAUUUAAACCAGAAGUUUCAUGCUUUUGAGAUUCUUAGAGAAAAGCAAUCCAACCAUGAACUGAAUGUCUCUACAGUAAAUUAAAGAAGUCAAUAGCCCUAAAUCACGAAUAGGGUUUCGUCGUGUUUGUUAUUGAGAAAAUGAAAGAAGUGAAACAAAAUUGCAAAGGAUGUGUAUAUGUGUGUGGUUUAAGCAAUCAAAUUUAACUAAGCUACUUGCUUGGGGUUCCAGGUUGAUUCCUCCGUUUCUUUUGAGGAACUGUGAUUGGAGCAACUGUGGAGGGUUGAUGGUGUGUUGUAAUCUGAGGGCUUUCUUCUCUGGUUCCCGAGAAUGGAGUGGAUGAGGAAGCUGCCGCCAUAACUGUUGUGCAAAUCUGGAACUAAUAUCUGAACCAAAAGUAAACACCUAUCAAAUAUCCGAAUAUCCUUCUGCUGAAAGGAAAAAAAAAACCUCAAUUGCAUGUUUUCUUGUCCCUUGGAAAGAAUAAACAAAAAGAAAGGGAAAAAGAAACUACAACAGAAUGAAGAAAAAAAAAAAGACCUGAAGUAUGUUUGAUUUUUUCCCUGCUUUCUUUGUCUGUCAGGAAAAAAGAAAAAAAAUAGAAACUGAGAGAUUAAAUCACAAAAGAUACCGAGAGGAAAGUAUCUUAGGAGACAGAAGCAAACAGGAGACGAAGAGAAGAAAACAAUUCACUCUGAAUACCUACUUAUCUUCUGGCUAUUGUUUUCUUAUCAUAAAAUUUAGCUACUACUACUCCCUCUUGUUAUUUCUCAAUCAUUUGGUGUCAUCUAGACAGAAGAAUAAUAAUAAUAGUUAAUAACAUGCUAGCUUGUCCUCCAAAAGGCAUAUAUAAAUCAACUCAUAUGUAUCUCUUUUGAUCUCUGUGUCUCUUCUUUUCCCCUCUUCUCCUCAUGGUUGUGCAUUUUGUAAGGAGGAAUAAUUAAGGGUGGUAAAGUUGCCAGCGAAGUGAGGGAGGUAAUUUAUGUCACUGUUAUACUGCUCCUGCACGGGCUACUGUGUCCUUAGCAGAUGAUGGUCUGGGGCCACCGACCCUUUUAGCUCUCACACUCACCUUAUCUCUCCUUCUCUUCUUUCCUAUCUUUUUACCAACAACCAUACAACUUUCCUCAUUUUUUACCCAACAACUAAUUGGUUUAUGCAUUAUUAUAACUAUUGUUAAUUAUUACCAUGUCUACAAUACUUUCUUUAGCAUGGUUUUUAUCAGAUACAACUUUCCACUGUUAUUCGAUUAUAUAUGGUUACUAUAAACUGACAUAAAAGUUCUAGGAUUAGUUGGUAAAAAAUAUUUUCAAUCAAAAUCUUGUGGUAAUUUACGGACAAAGUACUUCGAACUCUUACACCUAAUCGUGAUAACUCAGUAGACAGAGAGCUUGCUGGUAGAUGAUGACAAUAUUUGGGUUUAUCUCCUAUUUUAUAAUAAUUGUAAUGGUAGUUUGAACUGUUUGCUUGAAGAUAUUUGCUUGGAAAAAUGUUAUCAGUUUGUAACCACCUUGGUAAACAGGGAUAAACAGGGAUUUUUGAAAUGAUGUUUGCAUUGACAAUGCUAGUUUGAAACAUUCUUUACCAUGCUUGUACCAAGUCUAUGUUGAAAUAGCUGCUUCGCGUGUAGAUGAAAGGGGAGUAUGGUAUGAUAAGAUUUGGUUCUGGAGAUCAAUUUGUCGGUCAAAAUCUAAUGCUAUAUCAGAAAAGCCAAGGCAAAUUUGUACGUAACACCGAAGUGAAAGCUACAAAGAUCAAACCAAAAUAUUUGCAUCUCUGCACUUAUUGGAAGAUGCUAAAGUUGCGUCCACAAAAAAAAUCUACGAACCCUUUGAAGCUCAAUUUUAUAAAAUGUGGUCGACACUACCUCUACAAUAUCACAAGGACGAGAAAGUUAGGAGGGUUGAGGGGAAAGUAUAAAAUUUUGAGUUCAUUUAAUAAAUAUAUAACAUUACUUUUUAUGUUAAAUAUUCAUAAUUGUGUGUUUUUUUAAAUGAUAAAAAAUAAUAUAAAAAAUAGGAUUGUAUGAUAAUUAUUAUCUAUAGAGUAAUUUAAAUAUAAUUAUUUUAGAUCUCUUUUUUAAUUUUAGUUGUGUUAAUUUAAUUUACUUUUGAAUAAAAUUGUUCUUUAUGUUUAAAUUUAGUUUUAAUUUCAUGUUAUAUACUUUAUCUUUGUUUUUUUUAGUUCUGAAGGAUAAAAGUUGUAAGAAGACGUUAUCGUGAACAUUAAAAUAGAGAAAAUGAAGUUUCCUAUUUAGAUUUACGCGAUAAAAAUUUACAAGAAGAAUUUGUAUAUAUGCACUUUAAGCCACCCAUUUUGUAGGCAUUUUAAGCCAAACUUGAGAGGAAAGUAGUGCUUAAAUAGUUUAUUUUGGACAGCCUAAGAAGUUCCAUCUGAAGUCCACUAUGGCAGAGGUUGAGUGUCUAUAAAAGACAAAAAAAAAAAUAGAACCUUAUUUUCAUACAAUUAUACACUUUGAGACAUACUUGGAGACACGGAAAAAUUCUUCUCCUUUUGAAGGAUUAUUUCUCUAUAAUUGAUAAGAAGUAGCUAAGUUUUCUUUCUUUCGUAGAAGCUUAAUACACUUGAAUCUACAUGUAAUUGUUAUGUUUUUUUUUUUAUUUAUGUAGUAGCUAUUAUUUUUUUUAAUGUUCAGUUAUAACUGAUAAAUUGGAGUAAUGGUAUGAUUUUAUAAUUUUUAUUAUAAUUCAAAAUAAGUCAAAGAUUGGUAGUAGAAUCAAUUAUAUAAUCAUUAAAUAAAAACUAAUUUUAUAGUAAAAAAAUAAUUAGUUACUAUAUUGACUAUAUUAAAUAUUAUUUUAGAUAUUAAAAAAAUUAUUAGUAUCUAAAAUAAUUUCUAUUAUUAAUAAAAUUUAAAACUAGUUUCAAAUUGAUAUAUUUUCCGACCUCAAGUCUAUUAAGAUAAUAUCACUAGGAUCAAUCACCACAUCUGAGAUAUUUGGAGCUCGAAGUUCCAUUACAUUUUUUUUUUCUUAAAAGGCCUCUAAGAAGUUUAAAGCACUAGUGCAAAUAAUGCUUUUUACAACAACAUAUUUGGUUGGUUAAGAAAGAACCGGUGUAAAGAAAAAUACGGUGACAUUUUUGUAAAUAUUGUGCAUAUAUUACAUUGGUUGUUACUCCUAAUCGGUGUAAUAUGUGUUGAUUUUGAGUAAUUUUUUUUAAAAAAAUUACAUUUUUACAGUGAUAUAUUAAAUCGGUUGUUAGGUCCAAGCGGUUAAUAUGUAUUGAUUUUGAGUGUAAAAAAAUUAUUUAAAAAUUACAUUUUUCUAGUGACGUAUUACAUUGGUUGUGAGGUCCAACCGAUGUAAUAUGUAUUGAUUUCGAGUGUAAAAAAAUGUUUAAAAAACUACAUUUUUUGGGAUGAUAUAUUACAUCGGUUGGGAGAUCCAAUCGAUGUAAUAUGUAUUGAUUUGUCUUUUAAAUGUAUAAAUUUUAAAAGGUAAGUGAUGUUAGGGGCAUUUAUUACAUCGAUUAUUACUAAGAAUUGAUGUAAUAUAUGCAUUCACCUUGUUUUUUUUUUUUCUUGUGCACUCACUGCUCAUUUUGCAUUUGAAGUUUGUUUGCUGAGUGUAAGACGUCUGAGCCACUGCCACCAUUGCCUUUGUUACCACUAUUUUUGUUGCCAUCGCUCACGCUCCCUUUGUUGUCACUACCAUCGCUUCUCGUUGUCGCCACUGUUUGUUGUGCCCUUGUUCACUGCCACCGAGAGUUGUGUUUCAUUGUCGCCAUUGUUCGCGCUAAUGUCGUCAUUCGCUGCUACCAUCAUUCAUCUAGCCACCAUUGAAAACUUCUGGUCCUGCCACGUUAAGGUAAGUUUUAAAUAUUUUUAUUAUAAUUUAUUAUUUUAUUUAGAAAUAAAAUUUUAAUUUAUAUAGAAAAUUAGUUUUAAUAUAAUAUAUUAUGUUUGGAAUAUAAUGUAUAUUUUUUUAAAAAAAAUUAAUUUGUUGUUGUUAAUUGUUAUAUGUUGAACGCUUUGAUAUUAGGUUUGGCGGUGUUCGACCCUCGACAAUGUGUACUGUGUUUUAUAAUACAUCGACUAAAAAGUGGGAGAGAUUGAUGGAUAAACCAAGUGCUUUUAUUACAUAGUAAUGGAUUGAAGUUGGAUAAGUGAUUCUACACUUUUCUCAAUGAAAUGUAGAAGCUAUAAAUGGAAGAUAUUAUUAUCCAUGUGUUAAUUGUUUGAAUGGGAGACUAUAAGAAAUUAAGUUGAUACGAGAACAUGUUGUGAUGGUUUCUUGAAGAGUUAUAUAACGUGGAUAUGACAUAGUGAAUUUGUAGACAUAACACCUCUAUUUAAAUUUCAAUAUUCUAAUAUACACUUUGAAGAUUGCAUGGAGGACAUGAUUCAUGAUAUUUGAGAAGAUAGUUUCCGACAAGCACAUAUGUGUGAUUCAUUGAAAGAUGAUUCAAAACCAUCUCUAUAUCUUGGUUGUUCAAGUUUCACAUGUUUGUCUUAUUAAAAUUAAUUAAUAUUAAGGCAAAAAAUAGGAAGAUCGAUAAAAGCUUCACUAAAUUAUUGGAGUUGUUGCAUGAAAUGCUUCCAAAAGGUAAUACAUUGUCGACCCUUCAUAUGAGGUGAAGAAGAUAUUGGGUCUGAUGGGUACGGAGUACUAGAAAAUACAUGCAUGUCCUAAUGAUUGUAUUUUGUAUAGAAAAAAAGGUUUGAAUCAUUGUAUAGGUGUCCAAGAUGCAGGAUAUCAUGAUACAAAGUGAAAAAUGAUGACAGUGAGGAAGAUGAUGUGAAAAAGGGUCCUCCUAAGAAAGUAUUAUGAUAUCUUCCAAUCAUACCGCGAUUUAAACGUUUGUUUCCCAAUAUUAAUGAUGCAAAAAAUGUCACAUGGCAUGCAAAUGGAAAAAAAAUGUUAGGUUGUUACGACAUGUUGUCGAUUCACCACAAUGUUAAUAAAAUCAAGAGUAGAAUGGAAAUAUGUAAAAUGAGAUUUUUGUUGUUGGCGGGUAGAGUAUGCUUACUAAAGUCUAUCAUUUCCUCUUGACCCCAAUACUACAUAUCUUUUUAUAAAAUUCCAGCUAUUAUAAGACAUCAAAUUAGAACUAUCCAGAGGAAUUUUUUAUAGAGGAGGUGAAACAAAGGAAGAAAUAUAUCAUGGUUAAAAUGGGUGGACAUAUGUAAACCAAAGGAAGAGGGAGGCUUGGAACUUAAAGAUGUCAAAUUGUUUAAUGUAACAUUGUUGUCUAAGUGAAAAUGGAGGUUAGGGUAACCACAAAGGACUGUGGAAGAAUAUUUUAGAAUUUAAGUAUGGCUUUUGAGGAACUUGAAUGUUAAUGGAAACGUCACUUACGAGUUAUGGCGGUGGAGGGACCUAAGAGGGGUUUGUGGGAAGGCAUAAAAGGGGAAUGGUUUGUGAUAAAUGCUAGAUUUCAGUAAUACUUUAUAUUAAAAUACAUGCACUUGUGGAUAUUAAUUGAUAAAAUAACCACAAUAUAACCCCUAAUUCAUGAACUAAAACCUUUUUACAUAUUUUCUAAUUAUAAUUUGAAUAAGAACGAUUUAUUCCCAAAUUUGUGUUAAUUUCAGGAUUUUAGGAAAGAAUGAAGAUGAAAGGGUAAAAGGAUAAUAUACAAAGCUAAAAAGGGAAAGUUGGAAUGCACCAACACUUACCCUAGAGGAGACAGCUGUCAAGGAGAAACAUCCUGAAUCUUCUUUUCAUGCUUUCCAUGCUUGUAAUAGCCAACAUGAGUGGCUAAUUCUACCAUUUGGGAAUGAGAGUAAUCUGUUCAAACUCUUAUGUAUUGAGGUGAUAUUUAAAUAUAAUAUUUUUUCUUGAUUGAUGAUUGCUAUUGUCAUUUUAUUUGUAAUGCUUGUUUACCAUUAUCAAGAUCCUUAGAUUUAACUGGAAAGUACUUCUAAGUUUCUAACCUAAAUGAUAAUGUUAGGAAUAGAUUUGAAAUGUUAAUUGCUAUCAACAUCUAAUCGUAAUGAUAAGAAGUUUUUAUAAAUAUGCGAGAAAUCAAUAUUUAGGAGACUUUCUUAAUAAUUUUAUGUGAGUAAUCGAUAUAAAUUACUUUUAUAUGGACAUCAACAUCAAUCAAAAGAUAAAAUAUUACUAUGCUAAUCAAAAUACAAAAGAGUAAGAAAGACGAACCUCAAUCCCAAUAUUCCCAAUUGAACUAACAAUCUCUUUGACUUCUUUCUUUUUAAUUAUUGCAAUCACAACAAACUCCCAAAAAACUUUAUUAUUUUGUUUUCUAUUUAGUGAAUCUUAUACUUGAUUAUUCAAUGUUCCUUGUGGGUUUGAUAUCCUUCCUUAAGGAUCCUCAUGAUAUCCUUCCUUAAGGAUCCUCAUGAUAUCCUUCCUUAAGGAUCCUCAUGAUAUUCUUCCUUAGCAAUUACAACAUGGUGUACUUUUCGUAAAAUAGUCAUGAAGUUUUUGGCACCAUUAUUGGAAAACAAUUGAUUUUUUAGUAUAAAUUCCUAAAUAUUAUGAAUAUUUUAAUUGCUUUUAACUUUUGUUUUAUUUCAUUUUAAUUGCAGAUUUGUGUUAUUUUAUUUCAGAUUUAUUUUAUUUUACUUUAUUUGUUUUCAAUUUUAAAUUUUUUUAAAAAAAUUACUGUUAGUGAAUCCUUGUGUUAACCCUUGAUUUAGUUGUCUUAUAUGAUAUUAAAAGGUCAAAUUCCCAAAGACCAAAUAUUAUUUGAAUCAAAGAUUGAAAAGGCAGCUAAAAGAAACAAAAAGACAAAGACAAAAGAAAGACAAGGAGACGCUAGAGAGGAAUCCUCAACCACUUCUUCCCUUCCCAUUAAUAUUUUUCAGGAGGAGAAUAAUAUGGCAUAAGAGCAGACACCACCUCCUAGGAGAACCCUUGGAGAUUAUGCCAUGGAGCAAGGGCCAAGGCAUUUUUCUAGUAUUGCAAUACCUGCUACCUCUAGGGUCUUGGAGAUGAAACCCGUUUUCCUUAGUCUUAUCAGUACCCAUCCGUUUACAACAAUGGAUCAUGAGGAUCCAUAUACACAUUUGUCUACAUUUUAUGAACUGGUGGGAAAAAUGGGCUUCCAAUCAGGUGAUCUAGAAAAUGUUUAUAUGCGUUUAUUUUCUUUUUCAUUAGCAGAAAAGGCAAAAUAAUGGCUCAAAUCACAUCCAAAUCAAAGUCUCAAUAGUUGGGAGGAUGUAGAGGAAAAAUUUCUACAAAUGUUUUUUCCAUUAUCUUGCUACAUCAAAGCAAAGUCUGAAAUAUCUAUGUUCAGACAAGGAGCAGAUAAAGCAUUUUGUGAGACAUGGGAAAGAUUUAAAAUGACGCUGAGAAAAUGUCCAAAUAAUGGGUUUGAAGACAUUGCUCAAUUGAGCAUUUUUCACAAUGGUCUCAUAUAUGAUAACAAGAUGCUUCUAAAUGUUGUAGUUGGUGGUACAAUGAUGGCAAUUGAUGCAAAAGAAGCAACAAAGAUUAUUGAGGCAAUGACAUCCACAAAUUAUCAAGCCCAAAAUGAUAGUAAAAAUGAGCCAAAGAAGGGGAUGAUGGAUCAUAAUUCUUCAAACACAUUUUUGGCUGAAAACUAAAUUCAAACACAAUAGUUGGAAGCAUUAACUGCACAAAUGGCUAAAUUGCCACAACAAUUACAAGUUGUGCAAGCUUAUUAGAGUCAGAGUCAAUCAAUAAAGUGUGAUUUUUGUAGAGGUGAUCAUUCCAAUGGGCAUUGUACUUAUCAGAAUAAUUCAUCUGAAGAAGAAGCUCAUUAUAUGGAAAUAAAGGAGGUAAGGUGGGUUCUCCAACAAAAAUACUCAAGGUUGGAGAAGCAAGCAAAAUCAAAGUUUUAAGCAACAACAACAACCAUUAUAUCCUUCAUCCCAAGAGAGAGAAAAGCAAACUGGAGGAUACCUUGGAGAAACUGCCCAAUAAAGGAGCUUUGACAUUGUUGUUCAAAGUUUGAAGACACAAAUGGGACAAAUUGCACAACAGUUGAAGAAAUCCAAGGAGCAAUGUAAGUCAGUCACUACUAGAAGUGGAAUAGUUAUAGGAAAGGGGAUUGGUGAUAAUUUGAUUGUUGAAAUAAAGGAAAUAAUGGAAUUAGUGGCUCGUUUUUAUGUUGGAUGUUCAAACUUGUUGUAGGAUCACACCUCUCAAGUUGUUUUGCUAAGGGGAUAAAGGGAUUUUUAGGGCUAAAUAUGUUUACAGAGAGAGGAUCUCUUGGUUCAAUAUUGUAAAGAAUUCCCGCUACAUCAAAUAUUGGAGACAAGAUUUGUUGAUCCAUUGUAAGGAAUUUUUGUUACCUCAAACUUUGGAGACAACAUUUGGGUUGAUUGAUUAUUUGUAUAAAUAUAUAAGGACAAACUAGCUAACAUAAGGAAUAGUCAUAUGUUAUUUAUUUGUAUAUAAGGUUGAAGCAUUCCUAUGUACUCAUUCUUUGUAUAUAGAUUUUCUUUAUUGAUAAAAAAGUACUGAAUUGUACUUAUUCUUUUUAAAAUACCACUAGCAUACUAUAAAAUAAAAUUUUUUUAAAAGUAAAUGAUACUUAAAUAUUUCAUCUAAUAGAAAAAACUAUUAUUAUCUCUAAAAAAAGACUUUAAAAAAAAUAUCCAUAGCUAAUUUCUUUUAUAAAAUUUAUAAGAAAUAACUUCUCCAAAUAUUUUGUUUUUAAAUUUUGUAAAGUUUCACAAAAUAUUUAUAGAACAAGUUGCACAACAUAUAAAAAUAAUAAUAAAUUUAUAAAAAAACAACAUUUAAGUAUUUUAUCUUUAUAUAUAAAUAUCAAAUAAAAAUAAUUACUUAUAAUGUAUAUUAAUUCAUUAGAAAAAAAGUAAACCCCCAUAUUAGCAUAUACAUCUAUUCUAACAUUAUCAUAACACCUUCACUACAUGAAAAAAUGGUUUUAACGGGAGUUUAUUUUUACAUUAUUAAAGGUUAAAACCUCUCUUAAGUCAUUUACUCAGGGCAGUUUCUCCUGCUAAAUCAUCUUUGAGAAAUGUGUUUCCUGGGGUUUUUUUAAACAUUUGGAAAAAUCUUUCAAAAUCCCCGUUAAAUAUCAUGGGCUUAAGAACCUCCGUAAAAUUUCAUAACCUCCGUAAAAUACUAUGCGUUUUAGGACCUCCGUAAAAUACCACGAGUUUCAAAACCUCUGUAAAAUAUCAUAGGUUUUAGAACCGCUGCAAAAUACCAUAGUUUUCAAAACCUCCAUAAAUUUUAGAACCUCUGUAAAAUAACAUAGGCUUCAGAAUCUCCGUAAAAUAUCAUUUGUUUUAAAAUCUCUGUAAAAUAUCAUAGGUUUCAGAAUCUUCAUAAAAUACCAUAGGUUUCAGAACUCCGUAAAAUACCAUAGACUUCAGAACCUUCGUAAAAUACCAUAGGUUUCAGAACCUUCGUAAAAUAUCAUAUUUAGAUGUUGUUCUCUAAUUAAAUUAAAAAUUUAUUUUUAAAAAAAUAUAUUUAAAAAAAUGCAAAUUAAAAAAAAUAAAAAAUGUAAAAAAGAACUAAAUGAAAAAAAAAAUACUUCUUAAAAUGAAAGAUAAGUGAAAGAGGAGCAAGUCCAAUAUAGAAAGAUUCAAGCCUAGAAAGCGGGUAGGGAUAGAAAUGAUAUGGAAAUAGGUGAUGUUUACAAGGAAAAAGAAGAAGCAAAAAGCACCUAUGAUUGAAUCAAAUUUUCAAAUCUUCAAUGUUUAUCAUGCAUUGCAGCAGUAACUCACCUCCCAUCCUGGUUGAGGGCUAAGAAUUGGUGUUGCCAUGAAACUUGCCUUACCCUUUAUAUAAGUUUCUCUCCAUAUUAGCAAAAAGAUUAUAAAAGAAAGAAAAACAAGCAAUCAGAAUUGACAUGCCAAUAUGUUUCUUAAAUAGCAAAAGAUAUAAACUUUUUCAUCCAAACCUGACUUUUAAGAAAAACUAGUGCAACUGUAUUCCUUAAAAAAAAAUAUGAAAAUGGAUAAAUAGAUUUUGAAUAGACAACUGUACCUAAAUGAUUAUUUUAUUUUUUAUGAAAAAAAUUGUCACUACAUCUUUGAUGGUUUCGAAGUCCUAGUUUGUUAAACGAUUUCAGUUUUUAGGACUUUACUUUUUUUUAAGUAAAGUUUCCAUGUAAGUGAGUUUUCUUUUAUGAUUUAUUAAUUUAGGUUUUUCAAUUUAAAUUUUAUAAUAAUAAAGUUGUGUCUUGUUAUAUUUUAAAAAAUAAUAUUUAAGUGCUUAUAUUUUAAAGAUAUAGUUAAGUUUGUUUUAGAUGAUAUAGUCUUUCAAUAAAAAAAUUUCAAUUAGGUAAAAUUGGGUUUCAUUCAUUGAAAAAUGAAAUAAAAGUUGAAAUUAAUUAUGAUAAAUUUGUAGAAAUUUUUAUUUAAUAUAGACAAACUAAUUUUUAAAACGAAAGGAUAUAUUGUUCUAAGAAUCCAUUUUCUAGUUUGUCUUGUGAACUUUUUUUGUAGUUCUUAUAUUUGAUAGUUUCCUGAAAGGCUGAAGCAAAUGUUGAAAUCUCUCUUUCCCUAUUAUCACCAUAUCCAUAAUAGUAAUUGGCAUUGUAUGUAUGCAUGACUCAACAUUUAUCUAUUGGGGGAAGAUAUCACACAUGAUGAUGAUGGGUAUAUGUGAAUUGACAUUGGAAUGAAAAUGAAAGAUGAAGGGUCACCUGUGUGGACCAUGUUGUGUGUGGCUUUGGUUUGGAUAGAAGCUUAAAAUUGAGACACAUGAUGUGGGGUAAGUACCUAGAUAAGGACCAUAUGUCUUAAGAGAGAAAAUAGAUGAACAAUUAUAAAUCUUUUGGGAAUUUGGCUUUACCUACAUUUCAAGUACUUUGUUUCCAUUACUUGGACUCAAAGUUAUUCUUUCACGCUCUUUAGUAAAUAAGGUACACUUAAGUGGAACAAAUUAAUAGAAAAUGAUAUGUUAAAAAAUAAACUUUAAUGCAUGUAUAGUAUAAAAUAUUCUUAUAUUUAGUCAAUGUGGGAUAUUCAACAUUUUACAUAACAACCUGAUAGUGAGUGACCUGAUAAGUCCAACAAACUCUUACUAGGAUGACUUUAAUACCAAAUUAAAAGUAACUUUAAGUCUAACUUAACUUUACAAAACUGGUUAAUAAGUAAGCAUUCAAUUAUAUAUUAUAAAAUUCUAUUAUCUCUAGUCAAUUUCAUAUCUCCAUCAAAUAUUCAAUUCAAAGACUAUAUAUGAAUUGUUUGCAUCAACUUAGGUUUCUCUAGUAAAUUGCCAAGUUUUGUUCCCGAGAAAGCUGGCCAACAACGUUGGUUUGGUCGGUUUAAACCUUAAACCUUUUCGGGGUAAGGUUCUUGCCUCCUUGGUAUGAAGGGAUAUUUAGCUUGCCUCUUCGGUGGAUUUGAGGUCAGAGGAUAUUAGUCAUUUCAUCUCCGAAAGUGCUGUUAGAAAUUGUAAUAUGAUGUUUUGGAUGAAAAAUGAUGUGUCUGAAGCUCGAAAAUUUAGAAUUGUGGGAAGGAGAUGGGAUUUUUGUUUAAUGGUGAGGAGGAUGUAGUUUUUUGUUCUUUACAAGCCUUGGAAGCUCUGGAUUCUAACAGAAGGAAGAAGGCCAACGUUUUUGAUGAUGAAAAUAAUUAGUCUGAAUAUUAGGGGGCUAGGAGGAAGCGUUAAAAGAAGAUAUCUAAGAGAGUUAAUAAGCUUGGAACAAGUAGGCGUGGUUUGUCUACAAGAAACAACGUCUUUUGAGUUUGGUGAGGGGAAUUGUUUUCUAUUGUGGGGCUCUAACGACAUCGGUUAGGUUGAGAAUGGAGCGAGUAGUAACGCUGGUGGGAUUAUUACAAUAUGGAGAAAUAGUUGUUUUCAUUUGUUGAGGUACUCUAACGGGAACAAUUUUCUGUUAUUGAAGGGGUCUGGAAGGUUGGUGGUGGUGUACAGGUUACAAUUGUGAAUGUCUAUUGCUUGGGGUCGUUGAGGGAUAAGAAGAUAAUUUGGGAUGAGAUUUGUGAAGUAAGGACAAAUCAUUCGAAUAGGGUUUGGUGUGUAGUUGGGGACUUCAAUGCUAUAAGGAGGAAGGAGGAAAGAAAAAGUUUUGUUUUUGUGUCAUACUACAACAGAGAAAUUAAUGAGUUUAAUAAUUUUAUUGAAAGGUCAGAACUGUUGGAUAUCCCGAUGGUUGGCAGGAAAUUUACUUGGUAUAAACCAAAUGGAUUCGUGAAGAGCAGAAUCGAUAGGGUCUUGGUUUCCAAGGAUUGGUUGGAAACUUAGUGAAAUAGUAAAUAGUUUGUCUCUAGUAGAUCGGUGUCAUAUCAUUGAGCCCUAGUACUUAAAGACGUGUGUUCAGAUUGGGUUUCGAACCCGUUAAGAAGUCUGGACAUUUGGCAGAAGGAUGGCAGGUUCAUUGAUUUUGUGCGAGACAAAUGGACUAACUAUAUGACAUGUUUGGAAAAUGGUUGUUCAUUUUAAGGAAAAAUUGAAAAGAUUAAAGUAGGAUUUAAAAGUCUAGAAUAGAGAUAUCUUUGAGAAUGUAAAUAGCCUUGGGGAGGAUUUAAAAAAGAAGAUUCAAAUUUUGGACGAAAGGCGUUCUUAAUGAGGCAGAAGGAGAGGAAAUGAGGUUAUUGUUGGCAGAACAAAGCAAGAAUCUUUCAAGCAAGAAGCGAUCUAUUUUCUGAAAGCUCGUCACAAGUGACUCCAACAAGGUGACCUAAAUUCUAAAUACUUCCAAUCGGUCGUUACAUGGAGAAGGGUAAGAAAUAACUCUAAUGACAUGUUCAAUAACGGUUGUUGGUGUGACGACAAGGACGUGGUUAAGGAUAGAGUCAGAGAUUUUUUUAAGAAUAGACUCGAAGGAGUUAUUGGGCCUCAGGUUAGAUUGGACAACGUAUUUUUUAACUCUAUUUCUGAUUUAGAUUAUGAGACGUUGGUUGGUUCUUUCUCUAAAGAGGAAGUUAAGAAUGCAGUUAGUUGUUGUGACAGUUCGAAGAGUUCUGAUCCAGAUGGUUUUAAUUUUAGCUUCAUUAAACAUAACUGGGAUAUGAUAAAAAAGGACAUUCUCUUGGCAGUGAAGGAUUUUGUUGUCUCUGGUUCUUGGCCUAUGGAGUCUAAUGCUUCCUUUAUUUACUUGGUCCCCAAGUCGGAAAACCCACAAUUGUUAGGUGAUUUCAAACCCUUUUCUCUGGUCAGGUGCUUGUACAAGAUUAUCUCUAAAUUGCUUUCUCUUAGGUUGAAAAAGGUAUUACGAAAGGUCACUGAUUCCAGACAAUCGACUUUUCUUGAAGGAAGGGGUUUAAUGGAUAGUGUUCUUGUCGCCAAUGAGAUACUUGAGGAGAAUAAGAAGACCAAGAAGAGUUUCAUUUUUUUCAAGGAGGACUACGAGAAGGCCUAUGACUCUGAGAAGUGGGAUUUUAUGUACUACAUGUUAGGAAGGCUUGGUUUUUGCGACAAGUUGAUUUUAUGAAUUAAAUCUUGCCUUAAGUCUGCUUCGUUUUUUGUUCUUGUUAACGGAAGCCCGACUAAGGAAUUUUCUCCGAUUAAGGGGUUGAGACAAUGUAACCCCCUCGCUCCAUUUUUAUUUCUUAUUGUGGUUGAAGGUUUGGCAUGGGUCUCUAGGAAUGCUGAUGAGCUUGAUGCGGUAGAAAGUAUGGAGAUCGGGAGUAAGAAGGUUAAAGUUAAUAUGCUUCAAUAUGCAGACGAUACUCAGUUUUUCUGUCAUGAGAAUUCUAAAAGUAUUUUCAACAUUAAGGCAAUGUUAAAUUGUUUUAAGCUGGCCUCAAGUUUGAAGGUGAAUUUUUUGAAAAGCAGUAUUUGUGGGUUGAUUCGUUCACUAUCCGAGGUUUGGCGGCUAUCCUUAACUAUGAUGUUAUGAAAGUCCUUUUCAAAUAUCUAGGGUUGCCUAUUGGGGGGUGUCACAAGAGGGAAGUGUUUUGGGAUUGAAUGGUGGAUAAAAUCAAGUCCAGAUUGAGAAGAUGGAAAGGUAGAAAUUUAUCUAUGGCAAGGAUUUGCCUCAUCAAGUCAGUUCUUUCAUCUAUUCCAUUGUUCUAUAUGUCAAUGUUUUUUUAUGCUUAUAGUUUUGAUGAAAUAGAUUGUGAGUAUUCAGAGGAACUUCCUCUGGGUGGAGUUCUAAAGGGAGAAAGAUCGUUUGAGUUUCUUAGGAAAAGGUUUGUGAGUCUCGAGAUGGUGGCGGGCUUGGAGUAGAUAAUAUUAAGGAUUUUAACUUGGCUUUGUUGGGUAAAUGAAUUUGGAGGUUGGGGUUUAAUGGGGGGUGUUUGUGGAAGGAGGUUUUAAAGUCGAAAUAUGGAGGCUGGAGAAAGCUGAAGGAGAACA